UUUUCAAAAAACUCUUCAACAAAAAAUAAAAGCACAUGCAAGCAUGAAUGCAACAACGCUUUUCCAACAAUUUACAAAUGCAAGUCACAUGCAAAUGCUUCAAUACUUCCCAAUACAAAUUCAAAAGAACAAUUUUUUCCUUGAUAGAUUUCCAAUUACUACUUAAUAUCUUUUUCAAAUUGAACAAAAAAUUAUUCAAGAUAUUCAAAAGAUAAUCAAACUCAUUUCAACUCAUUUUUCACCCAUCAAAUAUAUAUGACUAAGUAUGAAAUUAAGAUCAAUAAAUGGAAAUGAACAAAAGAGAAGAAUUAGAGAUAGAUAAUAACACCAAAUUUUAAUAUGAAAAAUCUUCAAAAAGAUAAAAAAUAAAAAAAUAAAAAAACCAUGAGUCAACAAGUGAUCGAAAACAUCUACUAUGAAAAACAAAAACAAAAAACAAGGUUUUACCUAACUCAAGUUUACUAAUCUUUCUCAGACCACUUGACUAACACAUUUUCAAUUUCAACUUCAUGCCUUCUUUUGGAGCACACUUGGAGUCCACAACCUCGAUUUUGUCUUUUUCUUGAAUUUGCAUAAGAAGAAAAUCGGUUUUCACCCAAACCCAAAUAAAUGAGAAAAUGAGAUAUGAAUGAAAGAAAAGAAUCAACCCACUUUUCAGAAAAUCCAAUGUAGAAAAUGACUUGGAAAUCAAGGAAAGUGAUGGAUUUUCUUAGCAGCCAAACACCUCUAAUUUGAUAUAAAGAGUGAGAACUCAAUAGGGUGAAGAAAAAUGUUGCAAGUCUUUUUACCCUAAUCUAAAAGCAAUUUAGUUUGAAAGGAAAGGAAUCCUUGAUCCAAUGGCUAAAGAAAGAUCUAAUAGAAAAACUAGAUCGAUCUAAAAUUGAUCUUACCUAAAUCUGAAUUGAUCUUAGAACCUUAACCCUCCCUAACUUCUUAAAAAAUAUUUCAAGAAAAACAAUAAUUUGAAAAACUUGAUUGGUUCAAUUUCAUCAAUCUACAACCUUAACUACAUACCUUGGUCUCUUAGCAAACUCAACAUCUUAAUCUUUAUUAGGCAAGUAGCUUGAGGAACGAUUCAUAAAACCAAAUUAGGAGACACUUAAGAAUUUUUGUCUGGAAUUUCCAACCUAGCAAAACACUCACAACCACUUUCAAAUUAAACCUUGAGUUGAAGAUAGUACUCAUGAGGUCAUGCCUAAGAAUAAUAACGAGACAAAUAUUUUUGGAGACUCAUACUAUCUUACCUUUAAUGGAACAAAUUAGUUAGAAAGAGGCAUGAAUGGUUCAAGAUGCUUUUAAGAUAAAAAAAAUUUUAAAAUCCAGGAUAGGUUCAGGAAAAGAAAUGUAAAACUUCAUAUGAGUUAUGCAAAGGAUAAGAUUCCCCUAUAAAUAUUUGGAAGUGUUAGGACAUUCAACUAAAAUAGUUGUUUUUAAUCCUAAAAAGGUUUAAUGAUGUAAAUUAAUAUAUAAUAAAAAAAACACCAAAUCCACUAGUAGUUAUUAUGAAACUAAGGUUUGAUUAAUCUCGGUUUUUAUGAUAACAAAACAAGGUUUAGAACUAAUAAUUAUAUUUCAAGUGUGAUUAGGCAAAACGAUUUCCAAAGUGGCAAUCACAAAGACAAAUCAAGCCAACGAAAAAUCAUGAAGAAGAAAACCACCUCAAAGAGAAGUGUUUUUCAAGACCUAAACUUCAUAAGAUCUCUUUGUAAGGUUGUUGGUGCACUAGGAUUUUCAUGCAUUACAUUCUUUACUUAUGCACCAAAAUCAUCCAAGAGUUAUUUUGUUUUAAAUAUUUUAAAAUUAGAUGAUUUCAUGUUUUCAACUAAAACCUUGUGUCAAAUGUUUUUUAAACUUGUUUAAAAGGUUUUAAGUUGAAAAAGUUGGUUGUUAAGCCAAAAACGGCUCAACUGGUUGAACCGGAUGAGGAACCGGUCGACCCCUAGUUCAAUCGGUCAAGGGUGUGAACAGUAACCGAUUGACCCCUAGUUCAACUGGUCAAGGGGUGCAAGAAACCUUCUCUCUCUCUCUUCCAGAAUGGUUGUUCAACUGAAUGAAAAACCGAUCGACCCUCACCUCAACCGAUCAAGGUUCGAUCGAAGUCCGAUCAAGGUCCAACGAUCACCUGUCAAGCCUUAAAUGCUAACGGCUAGUCAACCGGUUGACCCUCAGCUCGACUGAUCGAACCCCCCCCAAUGGUUAGUUUGAUUUUUUUUCCUCUAUAAAAAGGCUCCAAAUCUUCAUUGUUUAUGAGAUUAACAUUCCCAAACCUUUCUUGAAUAUAUUUGAGCCUUGGAAGAGUGUUUUUUAGUGCACCAUUGUUUUAAAACUUUCAUAUCAUUAAUGCACCAUUCAAUCCUAGUCUUCUUAUAUCAUUUAAACCUAAAGUUUUGUACUAAGAUUUUGUAAAAUUAUUUGUAUAUCAUUAAGAGGAAGAAUCUAAGUGUGAGGUAUCACUUAGGGAUUCUCAAAUGUGGGGUAUCACUUGAGAGGUUGUUCAAGAGUGGGGUAUCUCUUGAGGAUUGUAAAGAGUGCUUGAAGCCAAAAGUCCAAGAGGGUGGAUUGGAACCAUAAUCCAAUUGUAUUGCUUGAAGGCUUGGUUUGGAAGCCUUGAAUUAGUGGAACCUCAAGCUUGGGAUUGAAACUAGAGAAGAUGUAGGUCGAGUUGCACCGAACCACUAUAAAAUCUUGUGUUUGCAUUUUCUUUUCCCUACUCUUUUACUUUAUAUGCAGUUGUCUUUAUAUUGUUUUAUUAUAUACUUGCAUAUAUUUGUCUUUUACAUUCACAUAGUUUAAAUUUGUAAAAAGAAACCAUCACUCUAUUCACCCCCCCCCCCCCCCCCCCCCUCUAGGGUGAUUACCAUAGGUUGGAUUAUACCAAUUUUUCUAAUAGUUAUGUAGCCACAAUGUGAGAAUACCUAAAUCAUAAAAGUCUUUAAAAAAAAGGUGAAUUCCUAGAUCCACCAUAGGAUCAACUAUUAGAAUGACACAAAAUAGCUUAUAUAAUGGCAAGUCUUGACAUAUACAUCGAAAACAUAAUAUGAUAAAGUAGUUACUUUCAAAUGGAGUGGUUUCUAUUCACUAUAUCAAGUUGAAGGACAACCUUGUGGAUACAUGAUUGAAAUUUAAAUUUGUACUCUAAUAGCACAUAAAGGUUAUGAAUUAUGCAAUAUGAAAGACUGCAUGGAGUUUAAGAAAUGUUUGCUACCCUUCAAGUAUAAGAGUUUGUUACCCUUCAAGAAUGGAGUUCCUCUUUCUCAAGAUUGAAGUCCUUAGAUACUUGAAGAAAAAAAACGCAUGGAGAUAGUGCCAUAUACCUCAACAAUAGGUAGCCUUAUAUAUGCAAUGUUAUGUAAUAGACUAGACAUUUGUUUUUCUAUAGAGAUAGUGAGUAGAUAUUAGUCUAAUCUAAGACUAAAGCAUUAGACAAAAGUCAAGCAUAUACUCCAGGAUCUUAGGCAAUUGAAGAAUUAUAUGUUUAUGUUUCAUAAUGAUGAGUUGGUACCCAUUGGGUACACAGAUUCAAAUUUUCAAUCUAAUAAGAACUCUCAUAGGUCUACCUAUAGUUUUGUAUUCACUCUAGGUGGUGUGACUAUUAGUUGGAUAAGUAUGAAGCAAUUUUAUAUCACUAACUCUUCUAUGAAAGUCAAGUAUGUUGCAACUCUUGAAGUUGCAAAAAAAGUUGUUUAGCUUAGAAAGUUCCUUAUGAGACUUAGGAUGCUUCUCUCAUAUGUGCCAUAAAUAACCUUAUUUUGUGAUAACAUUAGUGCAAUGACAUAGUCUAAAGAACCAAAGAGCCAUCGGAGGGUGAACACAUUAAUAGGAUCAUCACCUGAUUCAUGAGAUAUUAUAAAGAGAUAAUGUAGUUAUGGAGAAAAAACUUAUAAAUUUAAAGGCUUAUUAAUUAAAAAAAUCACCCGCAGGGAGUGAAAGAAGGGAAAAGGUGAAUUAGGUUUUUGAAAACUUUUACACACACUUAAUUCAAGCAAAUUAUAAAGCAACAAUAAUAAAAAGAUAAGGGAUAGAAAAAACAAACUUAAGAUUUAUAGUAGUUAAACAAUUCUUGCCUACAUCCACUCUCCUCAAGCUUCAACUGAGUAAAAGUUCCACUAACUUAAAGUUUUAACCAAGCUUCCAAUUCCUUACACUUGGAUUUUUGGCUCUAAUAGGCACAACUAUUUGGAUUGAGCCCCUAAAAGUAAGACAUGACAUGAUGUAAUAAAAUUAAACUUAACUAUCCCUUUGCUAUCAUUUUGGUGUAUUGACAUUGAUUUUAGCACUCAACUCAUAUCUUUUUCAUUGUACAUGACUUGGGUGUAGUAAGAGUUAUACAGAAUGUAUAAGUCAUGAGUUUCUUGUAAGUAAAUAGGUUAUCCACAGUGGGUUCAUGGAUUUGAGCAAUCCAAUAGAAACUAUAGUGCACCUCCUCUUAAUUGGAUGGAUAACUUGUCUUGGCCAUUGGGAUGAAUUUUCCAUAGUGAGUGCACUAGUGUAUGUGAUGUACACUAGACAAGACCUAUGAUGAAUCAUGACACAAGACUAUCAAUUGUCAUAAUUCACCAACCUACUAUAUUGCAUGGACUCUUAACUUUGAGAGGAUGAGCAUGUGCCAAAAUCAAUAGGAGGCUUUGAAACAAUGUAUCUACUUGGGUGAUCUAGAAGAUGUGUGAUCAUGAAAUGUGUGGUCAUAGUAAUUUCUUUAAUGAAAUUUGACAUAUGCUCCUUGGAGGUAAAGUAUGAUAGUUGAUCACAUGAUAAGUGUGAUAUGUAACUUAAGAAUUUGAGAGGUAAUUUUAAUAGGUGAUAACACUACCUUGUUAUAUUAUGACACCAAUUCAUGGGGAAUCUACAUGUAGUGGAUAGUAAAUCAUAGACCUGAGCACUUGGUGUCUCGUUGUAAUAUACAUAAGGUAUUGGAAUGCAGUUGACUCUCUAUAGUGAGAUGUUGAGUUAAUUCUAGAAUUUGAUUUUAAGGGAGUUAGUAAUCUUAUGGGUCCCAAUGGUCCCCACUUUGAGCUCAUAUUCAUUGAUGGCAUGGUUUAUGAGGGUUGAAUGGGUUUUUAGUUCACUUUUGUGCAUAAAGGCAUUUUGAUAAUUAUGUAAUGUUGCACAAGGAUAAGUGAGUGGUAUUUUUAGACUAUGAUAAUUGAUUAAUUAAGGUCAUGUAUGGUUAAUUAAUCAAUUAGCAACUUUUUUGGGCUAAAUUAAGUAACCCAAGCUCAUGAUGGACUUAAGUCACUUAAACCCAAUAUGAAACCUAUAAAUACCCCUUUAGAGGUUAGGGUUUCAAUAUCUUGUCAUUUUCUCCCUAUAAUCCAGAGAGAGAACCCUAACCUUUACCCAUGAGAUCUUCACCAUCUCAGUGCCUAAACACAAGGAAGAGUCAUCGAACGGAAGAUCAUGGUGUUUACAAGAUCCAUUACGACUUUUGAGUUAUCUACAUCAAUUGAAAUCAAUCCAGAAACAUUUGGAUCAAAGAUAUGUGGCUUUAUUCUCUGAAUCUAUGAUUUCUAUGGUAUCAAUAUUGGUUUUUGAAUACUUGGUUUUCCAUUGCGAUAGAUUUAAAGAGUUCAGGAUAGAUUUUUAUGCACCCUAUGAGAUCCAAGGCAUGGGAACGAAGUGAUCCGAGGUUCCCAACAACUGCAAGUUCUCUUCAUGUAUAUCUCAACUUGAAGCUUUAAAUACUCAAAACCUCCCUUCAAUAACUAUGAAAGAAACCACUCUUACUCUAACUCAAUAAACGAAAAAAUACAAAGGAAGUUAGGAUGAAUAACAAGGGUGCACUAAGGUGAUUUGCAAAUAAGGAAACAAUGCAUCAAAGAAGCAAAUGAGAGCUUUUAAUGAGAAACAAAUUGGUAGGAAGUAAAUAACAUGUGUUCUCUAUACAAUAAAUGAAGUGAAGCUCUCAAUUUAUAGGCUUCUAACCUCAAGCACAAAAAAAAAACUGCAAACUAGCCUUGUUUGGUUGAGUUCUGAUUCAAUCGGUUGAUUAGUCAUUGGGCAUUAAUUGCAUAAUAGAUGACCGUUAAGCCCUAAACCAAACAUUGACUAGGAAGAGCUUAUCUUUGAUCGAGAAAGUUCUAUCCUUGAUUGGGAAUGCAAUGCUACUGGAUGAGAGAGAAAAUUUGUGCAUUCCUCAAUAUAUUCUCGACUAGGAAAAGACAACUGAUUGAUCGGUUCCACAAUUGGUUGAACCAAUUGAUCCUGUCCUGGACCGAUUGGCCAAAAUGAGAUCCAAAACCUAUAUUUUUUAGUUUUUUUCUUCUUCUAACACUUAAGCAAAGUCUUCAAGUAUCUUAGUAUAUCAAGUUUAAAGUAUUUUGCUUAAGGUUCAUGUGAGAAAACUCCAGCUUCAUUAAAAUCUUAACUUUAAUGCAAAAAUCGAGUAUUAAAUGAUGCAUGAUUUAACAUAAAAAUCCUAGGUGCACCCAUGUAUUCACCUUACAAAGGAUUCAUAGGCUUGAACAAUCUUCAUGCACACUUAGACUUGCACUCUUUUGAUUCGUUGAUCACUAUCUUGAAUUUCCAUUUGAAUUUCUCAAAUAAAACCUAAAAAUUAUCUUGAUUUUAAGUUAACUAAUAAACUAAUCAUGGUUUGUUAUCAUUGAAACAUACUUAGGAGAACCCUUAAGCUAACAAUGCCUUCUGCAAAGAACCUGGCAAAUCCAUUCACUAAGAUUUUGUCGAGCAAAGUCUUUAAUGGUUAUAAGAAUGACAUAGACAUUAGAUGUAUUCCUAGGAUGCUUUGAGGGCUAGUGAGGGAUUGUUAAGAUAGAGUUAUUAAAAGUAAGACAUGAUGUAACAAUAAAUGGUUUUCAUUAUUAUUUAUAAUAACAAUUUUAGUUUCUCAUUUCUUUAUUUUGUUCAUGCAUUAUCCAUUUCCACAUUUAAGCUUAACAUUACUUACAUUGUAUAUGACUUUGGUGGAUUAAGAAUUGCAUAGAAGAUCUAAGUUAUGGUUCCUUGAAAGUUGAUAAGUUGUUCAUAAGUGGUUCAUAGACUUAGACAAUUCAUUUAAGAUUGUAGUAGACUACCUCCUAAUUAGAGGAAUGACUUAUUUUAGUCAUUGAGAUAUGGUUCCCAUGGUGAGUACAUUAAUGUGUAUGGUUACACAUUUGACAAGACAUAUGGUGAGUCAUGACAUUGGUUGUCAAGUAAUCAUGACUUCACUAAGCUACUAUACUAUUAAAGCUUGCAACUCUGAGAGAAUAUUGAACUAGUACUAUUGAGGUUUUCAAUGACUUUGAUCUAUGGGUGAGACCCUCAAGUGAUUAUAUAUUCUCUAUGGAUUGAGUUACUAUUGAUUAAGACGGGUGAAAAUAGGUAUUCUUGAGAUACGUAUCAUGAUAUUUUAUGGGUUUGAUAAAAUGUGUCCCUUCAAUUAAUUCUAAUGAUAUGUGAUCAUGAAAUAUAUUAUCUUAAUAAUUCCUUAACUAGAAUUUGACAAAUGCUCUUUAAGAGUUAAAGCAUGUCAGUUGAUCGCAUAAUAAGAGGAUCUUAUAUUCAAGUUUGAGGGCACCUUGCAUGCAGUGGUUAGUAGAUCACAAACUCAAGUUUAGUAUCUUGAUUUAAUAUCAUAAUAUAUUGGAAUGUAGUUAACUCUCUAUAAUAGGAUAUUAAGUCAACUUUAGAAUUGAAUUAUGAAAAAACCAGUAUUUUUCUAGUUGUGAGUCUUAGUGGCCCCUCGCUCAAGAUUGUAUAUAUUCCUUUGUGACAUAUUAUUUAAGAGAUACUUAGGUUCUUUAUGCAUAUCUAUGUAUAAGGGUGUUUUGAUAAAUACGCAAGAUUGUACAAGAGCUUAUGAAUUGCAUUUCUAGGUUAGGCUAAUUAAUUAUUGAAACUCAAUAAAGCUAAUUAAUAAUUAGAACCCAAUGAAUUAGAUUAAGUGACUCAAACCUAAAAUGGACCCAAGUCACUUAAGCUCAUUAGUAAGCUUAUAUAAACCCCUUUAAGGGUUUAGGGUUUUUAUCUUUGUCAUUCAAUUUUCCAAAGAGAAACAACUUUGCCUCCAUCUUCUCAAAGAGGAUUCCACCAUCCUCAUGUGCUAGUCUUCAAAAAGAGAGUGACUGGAUAAAAGAUUGUGAGGUAUUUAAGAUCCACGUCAAUCUUUUUACUGAUUGGAAUUUAUCUGGAAACAUCUAGAUCAUAGGUAUCGUAUUUUGAGCACUUAGACCUACAAUUUUUAUAUGAUAUAUGCUUUUAAUUAUUGUGUGGAUUUAGAGAUACCUAGGAUAAUUUUAUAUACACCCUAUUAAUCCAAAGCCUGCAGUAAUUUUUAUAGUCAUUCCCAUAUUAACAAUGUUCAAGAAGGAGUUACAUGAAUACUAUUGUCUUAGUUUAUAUAAAAAACUAAACAAUUUAAGACAUCAUGUUCACUGCUUAGUUAGUAAAUCUUACUGUAUUUCACUAAAGAAGGUUUAAAGAUACAAGCUACCUAUUCUUAUGCAACUUCUUUUUCAAACAAUACUCUCCAAAUUGUAGUAUGUUAUUUGCAUAUAUCAAGGCAAUUUCACUUCAUGUGGGAGGAUUGUUGGAAAAUGGUUUGGAAAAUGACUUAAAACCAUUUAUAGGUAAAUGGAAAAUUGAGUUCAAAGUGAUAGGACACCUAUUUCUAGAGAAGAAAUUUUUUAUUUUUAUUUUUGAAAAAGAUGUGUUUUGUGUCUUAAGGCAUAACUUGUUCAACAUGUUUGUGUAGUGUUGUAGAGACACAACCAUUCCAAUAUCAAUCACUAUCUACAAUUAUAAAUAGGAGACCUCUCUUUAGCAUUUCAUUCAUUCCAACCAUGUAUGAUAUUCCAUUCCAAAUCAUUUCCAAAUGUAGAAUUUCAUUCCAAGUCAAAUGAGAGUACUUGCAAGUGUUCAGUUUUAUAACAAGCAAUUUUUUGUAAAGAGUACAACACAUUACUUAUUCACCGAUAAAUAAUUAAAAGGGCAAAUUCCUCUUGAAGACAUAGAGUCAAAUUCUAGCAUCUAUCAACCUUAUUUCUCAGUUUAAUUUUUAUUUUCUAUAUUUAUUUACACACUUAUUUCAGAUAUUUUCAAUAAUUUGAUCAACACAUGAAACACGUCACCACUCAACUGAAAGGGAUGAAUACAACCCAAAGCAAGAUUAGCCUCAUAAUGACCAAAUCCCAUUGAUGCAAGCACCUCUCUCCAACAGAGUAUUGGCAGUCAAGCCUCCUGCCUUCCAACCAGUGGAUUCAAGCCACUUCUAAUGACCAAUAGAUUGUUCCCUUUUAUAGGAAGAACGGAUCGAGAAAGUCGUAGUCACAUCUUUAGCAACCAAUCGAUGUCAUCCUCUCUGCAGCCAAUGACAAGUCCCAUGAUGCCAUCAUGCAAUAGAGCUAUUGGCACCACCAUCCCAAUGGGAAGAACUCACAGCGUCACUCAUUUUAGAAUCAAAAAGAAUUUUUCAGACCAAUAAUGUAACCCGAUAUUAAAAAAUAAAAUAAAAUAACAAAGACAAAAGUUUAUGAAUAAUGUACUCAGAUACAAAAAUUUGACAUAUACCUCUUUAGUAAUAUGGGAUUUUUCUUCCUUUGUUUGAUUAUUGAACCCCCACGGUUUAAAAUUCAGUGAAAAGAAUAAACAAAAUGGUCAUGAUCAUGAAGCAUAUUUGACCUAAGGUAUGUGAUACAGUUUUGAUGGCUUCAGGUUCUGGGUAACAUUGAAAUAGUUCAAGGUCUGAAUCCACUUCUCCUGGUUCUUCAGAAGGUGCACUGCAAUGGUGUUAGGCCACAGCUCAUGUGUACACCUCGUCGGCGGCUCUGGGUAAUUGUACAUAGCCCACUUCGCCGUGUGCCUGUUCUUCCCUCUACGCCCCUCCCGAAUCCAGUCUCCAAACACUUUGUCUUCGGGGCCUUCCAUGUGCUUCUUCGGAAUCUCAGAAACCCUAAUCCACUCCACAAUGUCCCAUGAAACCAAGUACCCCAUUCCGGACAUAUAGUGAACAAAUGGGUCCAUGCUCGGGCAUGGAAUCACGUAACCGUAAUACAAAUCUUCUCGGGGCAAUGGCCUCAUAGACUCCACCAGGUUGUCCAGCCUCAGAUACGUGUCGUCGUCCGCCUUCAUUACGUAAUGGUACGGCGGCGAUGGCCCCUCGGUGGAAUUCAGCAUCUCCGGCAAGCUCGAGAAGUACGUAUACGUCUUGCCAUUGUUCAUGUUCUCGGUGCAGUUGAGGAUGAUUAUGUCGUCGUAUCGCAUUAUCUCGAGCGCAACCAGGACUUUCUGGUCUUCCUUCGUGAGGUUGCAGAACACGAACUUGACGUCGACCUUUGCUCCGGCCGGCGACUGUGUGCCGUAGAUCAUGCGGAGGAAGUUCCGGCGGUGGUACUGGUCGGGGAGGGUCAGGAUUCCGAUGAGAAUCCGGAUGUCGUCGUCGGCGGGAUCGGAGGUGAAGUUCAGGGUGAGAAAAUCAUCGGAAGAUGAUGAGUUGUGGGAGAAGAAAGUGCAGCCGCCGAACUUCAUGAUAGUGUCGAUUCGGACUCCGUUAAUGGAAGCUAUAGCACAGAGGAAGAGGAUGAAGAAGAAGGAGAAGAUGAUGAAAGGGUUUCGUUCAGGCUUGGCGGGCUUCAUCAUCACCUUUUGGAAAUUGGGGUUCAUCAUCAUCUUCUGAAAAUGGAAGCUCUCAGACAUAUAAGAAGAGUUGUGGUUCUAUGAGAUUUUUGAGCUAAGAGUAUAUGAAUUGAGUUUGAGCAUAUAAGGUGUAUAUAUAUAGUAAUAUCAUAUAGUUUUAUAAUUAUAUAAUAUAUGCUUUUUUCUUAAAUAAAAUUGAAAUGCUUCUCUGACAUGUAACGCAAUAGUUGGAAAUUGGGCAUAGCAUUUUGACUUUGGCACUUAAAAGGAAGGUAUAGAGAGCUAUCAAAGAAUGAAUGAAUGUACCAUUAUGGCCUUUGGUUGUUGGAAGCCCCACAUGGUUACUGAGUUGACCCACGAGUUGGUCAUAAAUUGAACCAAAAAUGUUGCUAAAUUAACUUCAAGAUACAAGAUUGGUUGAUUAAUUAAGAAAAUGAAAAAUGGUAGUCUUUUGUCAUACAAGAUUUUGGUUUGAUAGCCGGUUCAUUUGUAGGAAGGUUCUAUGCUACGUGUCUUUUUUUAAGAGGCAGAUGCUUAAUGGAAAGAUUCCCUACCUCAGACGAAAGAGCCCACUUCAAAAUUUGUCAUAUGAGAGUUUUGAGUGAACUCAACUAGUUACUCAACACAAGAAACUCAGCUGAGUUAUAACGGGAUUGACUCGACUGAGGAGUUGAUGGUCUUUCUACCUAAAUUGCCUCAAUUCUCAGUUGAAUUUCAUGAAACAAUUGAGGUAGUGGGGUUGAGCCUAAUUCUAGUUUAAAGCUUAGACCACUGGGUUCAGCCUGGUCAAAAUCUGGUGAUUAGCCAUUUAUGCUUGAACACGGUAUGGUAGGCUUCACCAUUCUUGACUAUAAAAGCACAUGCCUGUUGACCUACCAAGAGUUCUGCCUUUUUCCUUUCUCUUUUUCUAGUGAUCCAAACACCAAAAUGGAAUUUUAUAUGCAUACAUAGUUCCAUUAUUUGAGUGGCAAACGUGUGUCAAGGCAAGCACAUGGACCACCACCAUGACGAAGGCCACCCUCAUUGUGUACACACCAUAGGCUUUUUUCUUUUUUCAUCAAAUAUAGUAAAAUUUUAAAAAUGACAAAUUCAAAUCUAUUUUAAAAAUGUAGUAAAACAUUAUUUUUAAGGCAAUCCAGCUUAUUAUUAAUGUGAACUUUCUUAGUUGAUUUUGACAUUGGUUUUGUUUGUGCUAUUUUAUCAUGGUUCAUAUUCAUACACUGUCUUAAAUAUCCUGACCAAAAAAAAAUUUUCUUUAAUAUAUUAAAUAAUUUAUAUAUAUGGAUUUUGGAUGUGGGUAUAAUCAAAACAGACUUUGGAUUAUUUGUAGGGAUAAUGAAAGUGGGUUCUUAAUGUAUUUAGAUUUGGGAUGUUAGAUUUGUAAUGCCCAAAAAUUUAAUUUCAGGGAGAAGAAUGUAAUUUUAAAAAUAAAUAAUGAUAAUAAUAAUAAAAUAAAAUAAAAUAAAGGGGUAGCAUUGUCUUUUAGCAUUAAAAGUUAUAAAUAAUAUUUUUUUUAUUUUUCUCUUUAGAUCUAGGUUUUUCAGUUUCAUUAAAUAUUUUAAUUGUACUUUAGAUUCAUUAAAUAAUUUAAAUAUGCUUUUAAAAAUCCGGAUUUAGAUUAGGCAUUGAUUGAUAAAUUUUUAAAUAAAAAAUUAGAAAUAUAUGCACAUGGAUUCAUUCAUGAAGACAGGAAAAUUCUGGAUAUUUGGAUGAGCAGAUCCAUAUAAUAAAUAAUAAAUUUAAAAAAAAAAAAAAAAAAAAAGGGAAAUCAUACAACUUGGUUGUGAGAAUUAAUUAAAAUUUUAAAAAUAAAUAAUAAAUAAAAUAAAUAAAUAAAUAACCUAGAAAAAAAAUAAGUACAACCAGACAAUUGGUUAACUUGAUUAUUGGACAGAGGAUUGAUAUUAUGGCCUAUUUUAAAAUAUGAAUAAAUUUUAUUCUUUUCUUUGAAGUUUAAGCUAAAUACACUUUUUCCAUAUUUUAAAUUGACAAAAGAUAAGUAAAAAUAAUAAAUAAAAAGAGUAGAAGAAGUAUUUGAUAAAAUUUCAAUUUAAUAAUAAGAAAGUAUGUUUAACCUAAGCCUCGGAAGAGGUAAUUGAAAUUAACUUAAUUUUGAAAAUAUUUGAUGCAUAAAAUGUAUCCAUUUUCAUCGGGUGGACUUUAAGCUUAUUUAAUUGUUUAUUAUUAUUUAAUUUUUUUUACACUCUCAAUUAGGACGAGGAAUAAUAGAUAAAAUGGAAAAUAGUUGUCAACUAUAUUUUGCUUUUGUUUUUAUUUUUUAUCUUUUAUAUAUAUAUUAUUUAAAUGUUAGAAAAAAAAAAAAGAAGAAGAAGACCAUUUAGAUUGUUGAAAUUUGAAGUACUUUGGACACUAGCAAAGUGUUUUGAUGUUUAAAUUUUAGUGGUUUUUAUUUAUGGUAAACCAAAUAGUUAUUUUCCUUGACAUUCUCCUUUUCUUUUCUUUGUUAUUUUCCGGGGCCAAAAAUUAUGUUGUGCCAUGGGACUGUCUUGAGAUUGAAAUCGGCCAAUAUUCGAUCCAAAUGUUCUGCCAUCGGAUUCGACAAUAACAUACCUGGCUCGUAACAUAAACCCAAAUCGAUGCCUAACGGGCUCAAAACAGAAAUCUGUCUUCAACUUCAAUUGGGACUGUGGCCCAAUAUAAGGCUUGAGGUUAGGGCCCCAAUCUAUCCACCCAAACCAAAUCAAAUAAAUCUCAUAAAGCUUGGUUUGGUUUAGUUUUUCAAUAAAAAUCCGAUCGAAUAAAGUUUGGUUUGGUUUGGUUUAGUUUAGUUUUUUUGAUAAAAAAAACCUGACCAAUUCAAUCUUUGUUACACAUAAACAGAUUUUAUCAAUUCAAUCAUUUUGUUCAAUAUUCAACACAAACAAUCUUAUUUACGCCCUAAUUUUGGGACUUAACCUAAUAAGUGUAUAUUUACGAGGACUAAAUAUUUUGAUGUUUUUAGGGUCUUAGUUAGAUGUACAAAUAAUAUGGACCAAGUUGUAAUGAUUUCAAGGAAAAUGUACAGCUAACCUUGGGCCAAAAUAAAAUUUAGCUUGUGGAAGGCACAAAAGAAAAAAUAUAUAUAUAAUGUUUGGUUCUUGAAAAUUUUCAAGGAAAAUGUGAGAGAAAGGGAAUGAAAAAAGUGAUGAAAAAUAAAUUUUAAAUUUAAAUUUAAUAAAUUAUUUUUACAAGUUUUUUCAAAUUUAUUUAACUUUUUUUUCUCUUUUAUAUAAAAAUUAAAUAAUUUAAAAAUACAUAAAUUUUGAAUUAAUUUUACUUAUAUUUGAUUUUUUUUUUCAAUUCUUUUUAUGAAAAAUUAAACAUGGUUUUUUUUUUAAGUGAUUAAAAUACAUCCAUUUUCUCUUUUUUCACACAUCAACAAACAAAAAUGUUUAACAAUGCCCUUAUUUUUUUUCUAUCUUUUCACUUUUCUUGUCCUUCAUUUUCUUCUCCAAGUUCUAUGCAUAAUCUUAGUUUCCAAGGAAAAAAAAGCUUUUCUUGCUUUAAUAAAAGUUAUUUCUUUUGUCCUUCAUUUUCUUCUCCAAGAACUAUGCAUAAUCUUGGUUUCCAAGGAAAAAAAGUGGCUUUUCUUGCUUUAAUAAAAGUUAUUUCUUUUGCCCUCAAAUAAACUUAGGUUGUGUUUGUUUUUUGGCUUAAUAGAAAAAGCUAAAUAUUUUAACUUUUUCUAUUUAGUUAAAAGUAACUCAUUGACAUCAAUCAACAUCAUUAAAUUAAACUUAUUGAUAAUAAGUUCACUUUAAUUAUAUUGGUUAGUAUCAAUAAGGUACUUUUAGCUGAAUAAAAAAAGUCAAAAUAUUUGGCUUUUUCUAUUCAGCCAAAAAACAAACACCACCUAACCCUUAUCCGAUCUCUGUCCUCUUAACUUUUGACUUUUGAGACAAAUAUAGUAAUCCUCUAUAUUCAACUUGGUUUGAUUUUUUCCACUUUAAAACUAGCUUGUAAAAGGAGAAAUCCUUUUCCCAUGAAGUCAGGCAACCAACCACUCAAAGAACAGUACUUAAUUUUCUAUUCACCAAAUCUUAGAAGCACUUUAGCAAAAAUUAAUAAUAAUUGUCUGCAAACAGGAGACAAAAGACAAAGAGCCUUAAGAGUUGUUGCACAGAGUUCUUACUCCAGUUAGGACUUUUCUUUUUACGUUCAAGCCAAGAGGCAAUAAGAAAAGCUAGGGUUGGGCCCCUUUGUCUAAUUCUUAAUUGGGAAAAAACCAGAGGAUGCUAUUACAUUAAGGAGGAGCAGGUUCACCUAAUCAACUCUUUGCAAAAAUUUAGAUUUCAUAUUGGGCCUUUGGGAUUUGAGAGCUCAAUGGUUGUAAAUAGUGGAAGUUCUUUCUCUUCAUUCGUAAAUGUAGAUUUUACACAGAACCAUAUAAAUCAUUUCGUGUUUUGUGUUUUUUGGUUUCAUUUUUUUUACUUUUUUUUUCUCCCAAUUAUUAUUAUUUGUUGUAUUUUUCACAAUAAAAUAGUAUUAGAGUACAAAUUAUUAGACCUGAAAUGGAAGAAACAUUUUUUUUUAUGACAUGUUUGAGAUGCGUGCUUAUUGGUUCAAUAAGGAUUUUCCAAAGCAUUGAAAGAUAGAAAGACUAUCAAUAAUGAUGUCUUGAUGAAAAAAAUCCCUAUGGUAGAUAAUCCAAUAGAUAUGAUGACUAAGCUGAUUCUUAUAGUAAAAUUCAAAGCAUUACUUGGAUUUAAUUGAUGUUAGUAGCAUUUGAAGGCGAGCAAAGUAACAUGGAAGAAUUUAGAGUUUAUUCGAAUAUUGAGAAUUUGAGUUAAGAUGGAAAUUAUUAGAAAAUAUCUCAAAUUCUAUUUUUAAGUAAAUUAGAAAGUCAUCGAUAAUUUCCUAAUAUGAUAUAUUUUUGUAAGGGAAUUUCCAAUGAAUAUAAAGAAAAUAUAUUAUUGUGAAAUCUUUUUUAGGAAUUUGUAUGUUUUAACAAUUAUACAAUUAGUUUUUUAUAUAGAAUCUUGCAAUGUAAUCACGAAAAUAUUUUAACUAAAAGUGGGUCUCUUUUUGGGUAUAAUUGAGACUUCGUAAUUUAAGAUUUUUAAGAUUAUAAUUUGCUUCAAUAAUAAUGAAAGUUCUUUUCCUCUUUACCCAUGGAUAUAUGUUUUUUGUUUUCGUUUUUUUACUCUCUUUUUCUUCACCUGUUGAUAAAAUGCAAAGGAAUCAAGUGUGAUUAUUUUCAAUUUUUGUAAUAGUGAAAUAUCACCUAUUUUGGUUAGUAAGAAAUGCUCUAGUUCAAUCACUUUUCUUAUCAUGAUUUACAGAUUAUGUCUUAGUAACUACGUCAGAUUGAUGAGAGAAGAGAUUGUUAUCAAACACUAUCUAUAUUGGCAGCUACCCUCUGCAUGGAAAUAUUAUUAGUACUGUAUCUAAAGGGAGCCUCACUUGACUCUCUACAAUCACAGGAAUGAUGAUAUACUUAGCAUUAUAGAGAUCAAUAAUUCUAAAUUGGCUGCUAGUGGUUGAGUUUCUUAGGGUUCUUUUAACAUUAUUGAAAAGGAAAAGUGUAUAAGAGUGAUAACUAUUCUCAAUCAAAGAUGCUAACCCCAAAGGAUCCAAACCUUAUUGAUAGCUCCGUAGUGUCUUUCCAAUUUAGUUUCAAUUUAAGGUGGUGUUUGUUUAUUUUGAUUUUUUGUUGAAAAUAAUUUAUUUUCAUAAUUUAGAUCGUUUGUUUUUCUACUUUUUUAUAAUUUAUUAUAAACUUUUCACUAAAUAGAAAAAACCAAAAUAUAUAACUUUUUUUAAAUAAAAAAAAUAACAUAUUAGUUUUUCUAUACUUUUUAAUACUUAAUAGAAAUAAAAUACUAUAAAAACAAACAACUUAAUAUUUAACAUUAUUAAGUAUUAAAGUUUUAUUUAUAAUUAAGUAAAAAAACAAACACCACCUAAAUAUUUUUCUGUUAUGAUUUUAUAGUUUUUUUUUAUGAAAAACCAAAAAAAAAAACAAAAAAACAAAAAAGGUUUGAAAUCUACUCGGUCAACACCUAAAUAUUUAACAUUAUUAAGUAUUAAAGUUUUAUUUAUAAUUAAGUAAAAAAACAAACACCACCUAAAUAUUUUUCUGUUAUGAUUUUAUAGUUUUUUUUAUGAAAAACCAAAAUAAAAAAAUAAAAAAACAAAAAAGGUUUGAAAUCUACUCGGUCAACCAAAUUAAACUACAUGCAUUCCUCAUUGAAAUAACCAUCACCAAAUAUAGAAUGUAUUACAAAGUGAACAAUUCAAAAUUUUCAUUUCAUGCUUGUGUGUUGAAAUCUACACAACACAUACAAGAAUUAUAAGAACAAAGGAAAUUAAGAAGCAGCAGACAUCCCAUAUGUGACACUGCUCAAAAGUGAUGUUAAAUACAUCCCACUUUUUUCUUUUCACACCCACAAAACCAAGAUAUUUGACCAUGCUCUUUUUUUUUCUUUCUUCUCUAUGCCUUUCAACUUUUCUUUUCCUUCCAAGAACUAGGUAUAAUCUUAGUUUCGAAGAAAAGAAAAGAAAGAAGAAGAAGCUACUUUUCUUGCUUUAAUAAAAGCUAUUUCUUUUGCUCUCAAAUCAACUCAUCUUUCUCCCAUCUUUAGCAUUAACUUUUAAUUUUGAGACGAAUAUAGGAAUCUCUAUAUCCACUUGGUCUGAUUUUUUCCCCUUUAGAACUAACUUGUAAAACGAGUGAACCCUUUUCCCAUCAAAUCAGCAUCUAACCACUCAAAUAACAGUUCUUAAUUUUCGAUUCACCACAUCUUAGAAGCACUUUAGCAAAAAUUAAUAAUAAUUGUCUGCAAACAAGAGACAAAAGACAAAGGGCGCGCCUUAACAGUUGUUGCACAGAGUUCGUAUUCCAAUUGGACUUUUCUUUUUACCAACAUUCAAGCCAAUACUAGGAUAAGGCAACAAGAACAGUCAGGGUUAGCCCAUUUGACCAAUUCUUCAUUGGGAGAAAACUAGAGGGUGCUGUUACAUUCAGGAGGAGCAGGUUCACCCAAUCAACUCUUUACGAAAAUUCAGAUUUCAUAUUCAUGCUGAAUUUGAGGUUUUACCAAAAUAUUCUUUUUAAACUUUUUAUAAAGUUAUUUAGACAUGACCACGGUUCAGAAUCAAUUUCAUUAAAAUCUUAGAGUAUGUUUAGUAAUGGUUUUGAAGAAUUUUCAGUUCUUGAGAAUAAAAAAAUAGUUUUUCUACAAAGAUGAUAAAUAUUUGAAAGUUUUUUACAUUAUAGAUAUAUAUAUAUAUAUAGAAAAAAACCCUUUUUGAUAUAUUUAAGUUAAUUAUCAUAAACUAUUAUAAAAAUUAUUACCAAACAAACCCUUAUUUUGAAUUUCUCUCCUUUAGAAAAUAUUUUUUAAUGAAACUUUACUUAGUUGUGAUUAAGAACUCACCAAUUUUGAUUGUGAGCAAGAAAUGUCCAACUCAUUAAUUUUAUCAAUAAACUACACGAAACUCAACUAGUAUACGCUGAAUUAAUCGGCUGAAGUAAUGAACUUAUUUGAAGUGGUUCAUUUCAUACUAGGGCCAAUAUAUGAAUGAGGACUACUGUUACAUCCCUACCUAACUACUCUAGCUCAGUUGAAAGAUCCUUAACUUUUUUUUUUUUUUUGUUAAAUAUCAUUUUUCUUAUCCUGAUUUUCAAUUUUUUAUUAGUAACUACAUCAGAUUCAUAGGCUAAUAGAAUGUGAUCAGAUAUUAUUUAUAUUGGUAAGUGGCAACUGCCCUUUGCAUGGGAAUUAUUAUCGUAGCUUGAAGGAGCCUCAUUUGACUCUCUGCAACCAUAGGAAUGAAUAAGAUACACCUAACAUAAUAGAGAUUAAUAAUUCUAAAUUGACUAGUAGUGCUUGAGUUUCUUAGCCCUCUUUUAACAUUAAUGAAAAGCAAAAGUUCGUACACCAGAAAGAGUGAUAACUAUACUCAUUCAAAGACUCUUCAGGUCUAGAUUAUUUGAAUCCGGUUUUCCUUUCCCAUCUGCCAAACAUGGCAGAUCUAAAACCUAAAUUUAGAUUGAACAUGACCCACAAGAUAGAAAGAACAAAAAAAAAGGUUUGAAAUUUACUCGAUCAACCAAUUUAUACUAACUCCAUUACUCAUUGAAAUACCCAUCACCAAAUAUAGAAUGUAUCAGUAUUACAAAGUGAACAAUUCAAAAGUUUCAUUUCAUGCUUCUGUUGUUGAAAUCUAUACAACACAUACAAGACUGAGAAUAAGGGAAAGAAGCAGCAAACAUCCUGGUUGAUCCCUAUCAAACAAUCCCAAAACCAGGAAAAAUGAAAAAAAAAGAAGAAAAAAACCCAGAAUCCAAAUUACAAAAGAAAGAAGAAGAAUGAAAGAAUUGAUGAUUAUACAAAAGUGCUGCAAAUUGUAAAGGAGAUACUCUUAAAAAAACACAGGCUCCAAGUUUCACCAAAAGUCAUGAAUCCUUGUCGUCUCUCUUAUCACAGGGAAACCUCACAAAUUUGCCAAUCAAAUGAACCAAAAAAUCAUCAUGGGGACGUUGUUGUUGACUCAAAGCUGUUGCCCUUGCAGUACCUGAGCUCCAAUGAAACCUGUCUCUCCAUCUGGAGUUGUCGAUAGAAAUUCGCUAUGAAAACUUCAGCUCUCUUAUCAACAUCCUCUUCGCAUGGGCCGCUGAUCGUCCUCUGAAUCCCCCGCGACGAACCGGGCUGAUCUUCUGAGUCGGUAUCUUCAGUGCAACCCCUCAAGCCAGGCCUGUCAUUGAAGCUGAAUCUUCUUGUUUCGGAAGAAGUGCGGAGCAUGGAGGCGACAUGCCAUCUAUGGAUGCCAAAGUUGAGCAGGAAGCCCACUUUCUUCACUGCCCUCCUCAGGCGGCUGAGCAGUGAUGAUUUGUUGUUGCGUUUGGGCAUACUCAUCUUGGAGAAUUGAAUGAAGGAAUGGAUGAUUGAAUAUUAAAAGUUGGGCAGAUGUGGAUGAGACUCUCUCUAUAUAUAGAGAGACAGACAUUGGGUGGAGAGAGCCGUCUCAAAGAAGCUCAAGCAUUUGACGUCGAAGAAGUUGCUAGGUAAUGGAGACGAAAAAAAGGAAAACCGUGUUACAGAUGACAGCUAUACUUACGUGGGAAUAUUCUAGCUGGAAUACUAAAAGGCAUGGUUAACACUUUGAUCAAUUCUUCAUUAGUACACUGAGAUUAAUAUUUCACAAAAAAAAAAAAAAAAAAAAAAAAAAAAAAACACCAGUUGAUAGAAGGUUACUGGGCUUGGAAAUUAUUUUUGAAAAAUAAUUUUUAAAAAUUUUAUUGUGAAUUAUUCUUUAUAUUUAUAUAAUUAUUUUUUAAAAUAAUUCUUAAAAAAAAUAAUUUAAAAUAACUAAAAAAAGUUGUUAAAAACUAUUUCCUAUUUUUAAAAUAAAAAAAUCAUUUAAAAAAAAAUAAAAAACAAUUUUCAAAAAAAAAAUUAGUCUAAUGCAAAAAGAAGUAUAUAGUGAUAUUUAAAAUAAAAAUUCUUCGUCCAUUCUCUUUCUUUCUUUUUCUUUUUCUUAUUUUGAUAAAUUUUCAAUUAAUUCAAAUAAGUUAAAAAAAAUCCUUAGUAAACUAAUUUGUAACAUUUCAUAUAAUUUAUUAGCAAAAGUCAUGUUCAGAAAAUUAUUAAAAUAAGGAAUGAAGAAUAUUAAAAAAUAAAAUUAAACUUUUUAUUUUAUAAUAGUAAAAAAUAAUAAUAAGCUUUAAAAUACUUUUUAGUAUAAAAUGAAAGAAAAUAUUGGAUAUAUUUAUUUUAAAUAAUGUUUUAAUCAUUAAAUUAUUUACUUCUAAAAUGUAAAGGAUAAUUUUUAUUUAUUUAAAUUAAUAGUUUUUUAGAAAUUAUUUUCCAAAAAGUUUUUGAAUCAUUAAUAUAAUUUUUGUUUAUUUAUAAUUUAAAAGUAGAAAAUAAUGUUGAUUUUUCAAUUAUUUAUAAAAGACUUUAAAAAAAUAAUGAAAAAUCCAAAAAUUGUUAAAUAAAGAUGAAUUUGUUGGUGUUAGCAUGUGAAGAGUGGUGAAAUAAAGAUAAAAAUGAAUCAAAUGGAUAGUUUUAUCUAUUACUAUCUCAUAAAUUUGUAAUCAAUUAUAGGUGAUAGAAGGAUCUUACAUCAAUUGUCAAGCUCAAAUGAGCUUGAAGCACAAUUCUCCCAAGCAUGGAGCCGUGUAAGGUAGUGUUGGGUUUGGAGAAUGAAAAAAAAAUGUAGGUGUGGACCCCGUAUUUCGGCUCAUGCGUUUCCCACUUGAUGGCGAGCUCGAUUUUUAUUUCGAAAAAUUGAUUUUUAUUUAUUAAAAGAAUGACUUGGAGUCGCCACUUAUUUUUGUUUUAUUUUUAAAGGGUAAACAAAAUAAGAAAGAAAAACCCUAAGUGUGACUCCUUGUUUUGAAAAAGGUGGUCUGUGAAAAACCGGAUCGGGUUCGGGGGUCAAGUUACUUAUCGGAAAGGUACGGUAAAAACCGUAGCACCCCUCUAAGCCCCUAAAGUCGAGUCUCUACUAAUAAAGUGAAGCAAUCAUGGCAAUUGAUGAGUAAAUCAAUGAAUACCCAAAGUGAUCAUGCACGUAUGAGAGUUUGAAUAUGCAUAGACAAUGAUCAGAUGGAAAGUGGGUACGUACCUCGGCAAUAAGCCACCAUGCACUAUCAAGAGAGAGGGUUAGUGCACAAUUAAGGAAUAAUAACAUGCAUGUCAGAGAGCAAGAUAAAUAAAUCAUAUAUGAUAACCAAGUCAAUCAAUCAGAUCAAUCAAUUGAUCAUAAGAUCAUGUAUGUGGGGCCCCCACCAAAGCCCAAUAUAUCUUGCAUUAAAGAUGAGUGACAGUUCAGGAGACUUAGUCGUCAGUAUUAUCGGAGUUUGCUUUUUGAUUGUGGGCGGAAAUGGAUCCGGCGAAUCGCGAGUGUCUGACGAGCCAAGCUGUCCGGGGAAUCUGAAUUGUCGGUUGUGGAUGCUCUCCGGGUAAGCGCUAUCAGAGGAUCCGAACAUGUCUAACCGGGGAAGUUGAAUCACCCUCCUCUCCCAUCCGACGUCAGGCGUCGGAUGUGAAAUAUCCAAAGAAAGUGGAACGUCGGCUGGACAGAAUUCCAGAUGCGAGAUAUCCGGAGAAGGUUGAACGUCGGCCGGACAGAAUUCCGGAUGUGAGAUAUCCGGAGAAGGUGGAACGUCGACCGAACAUAAUUCCGGAUGUGAGAUAUCUGGAGGAGGGUGAACGUCGGCCGGACAGAAUUCCGGAUGUGAAAUAUCCGGAGGAGGUUGAACGCCUGCCGGACAGAAUUUCGAAUGUGAGAUAUCCGGAAAAGGUGGAACGUCGGCCGGGCAGAAUUCCUGAUGUGAGAUAUCCGGAGAAGGUGGAGCGUCGGCCGGACAGAAUUCUUCUCCGGGUGGAAUGAGCUAUGUCGUCGUCGCAAAGGGGAUCGUUUGCGUGUGCAAGGGAGAGAGAGCCAUGUGGCAUUUUUUAGGAAGGAUCCCAUAGGUAGGUGAAAGUUUAGAGAGAGAAACGGGUUUGGUGGGUUGUAUGGAUAUGGAGGCUUGGGUGAGUGGUUUUAAUGGGUAUGUGAAUGAGUGAAGGAUAGCAUGCAUCCGUGAGACUCCAUGUAAGUGAGGGAGUGGGAUGGAGAAUGAAUGAGAGGAAAAUGGAGGUGGUGGAGGAUGCUUGACUCCUACAAGCUUGAGUGAGGAAAUGGGUAUGGCUGACGCGAACAGUGAAGAAGGUGUAGGCAUGUGGUAAUCGUGUUAUUCAUCAUGAGAACAUUAAGCCUUUGCUUGGACAAGUUCAACUUUUCUCCAUGCACAUGGGCCAUUUACAAGGGAAAAAAAAAAACGAGAGCAUCAAAGAGGACCAAAACAGAGCAUAUAUGGGCAGAUAAUCACAUUCAACCAAAACCAUCUUGUGGCUCUGGAUCGAACUAACAAGCUCUUUCCCUGCUCUCCGCGACUCCACUUAGGCCUCUCCUCACAGCUUCAGCUUGCUUCUUCAAACCUCUAAUGUCUCCACCCUUUUCUUUGUAGCAUUGUCGUCCAAGAAAGGAUCUCCUCUUUUCAAAUAUCUCUAGCCAAACACCAGGAAAACUGGAAUGCUCUCCUCCUCUCACUCUACAAAAUAUACCCAGGCAGUUUGCUACUUUGCUUCACCCUCAAGCUAUCGAGUCUCCUCUCCAGAAAAUGCCAAGAAUAGAGGGGAAAAGCGAAGAAAAAGGAAAAGAACAAAAAAAAAAAAAAAAAAGAACAGAACAAUGUAUAAAGGGAGAUAAUACCACUAAAACCAAGCUCUGCAUCACGAAGACCAAAAGAGCUUUCAAAAGAACCUAGUGGGAGGAUCUCAAUGAACUUAACACACAAACACAAAAUAUAUCCAACAUACAGCUCAUACGGGAGAAAACAAAGAUCAAAUAAACAAAAGUCCGAAACAGGUUUGCCUCCUUAGGUAAUCAAAGCAAUUAUCUGAAUAUCAGCAAGAAACGUAAGGUGAUCCUCAAAAAUAAGAUAAGAUAAAGUAAAAGAUAAUCAAACCUGACUGAUUCUUCUCCUACCUCUCUAAAAAAAUGUUUUCUCCCUUACUCCUUCUAUCUUCCUCUCCAGUCGUUCCACUUUUCCUUUCUUUCUUGGUGUGCUCUUUUGCAAGCCACUCUUCUGCCCUCCUAUUCACCGGUCAGCAAGCAUGGCUUGCCCAACCACUCUCCCUAUUGCUACACGCCUGCUGCAACCGGCAUCAAGCCCUCAGCUUCAUGGCUGCCCGUCCCAUCUGGUCGGGAUUCAUGGUAAGAGAGGGGGGGUCCCCCUCACACUUCAAAAGAAUAACCAAACUCCACUCUAACAGCCCAAAAGCUCUUCUGAAUAUCUUCCAACAGGUGUCUCCACCCCAUUGCAUUUCCAACCCACUACCUGAUUCACUGACCACCCAACUAAGAAGCAGCAUCUGGCUCUUUAAGAGCCCUCCACUUGGCAAGAAGUGUGACCUGCAGCAAAUGAAAAAAACAAGCCCCAUAUGGGGGUCUACAGUAGGGCAGAGCUGGGUGUGGAAAUUAAUACAACUUUAAAAAAAAGAAAAAAAAAAGUUAUUUUAUUUUUAUUUGUUACUUUGAAAUUAUAUAGAAUGUUUUUCAUUUUUGUUUCCCUAUGUGAAUCAAAUAAAUUUUCCAUUAAAAAUAUGUUUAGACCAUCUUUGAUGGUUUAUAACCAAAAAAAAUAUAAUGAUAUUAUAUUUUAUGUAAGUUGGAAUAAACCGAAACAAAUUAUUUGUAGACUUUAAUUUGAUUGACCCUAAUUGAUAAGGGAAUUAUUGUCGAUAUUUACAUUCAUUUGGUCAGAAUGUAAUUAUAUUGAACUCUAACCUCUAAGAGUCUAGUAAGGGCCUAUUACUAAAGGUAUAAUUUAAUUUCAUCCCCCUUGAAAAGGGAACGACAAUUAAGACUAGCUAUCAAUUUGUAAAGCUUUAUUUAAUUAGAUACCAUUUGAAAUUUGAUAAACAUGAUAAAUAAAAAAAGUAAAAAAGUAAAAAAAAAAAAAAAACAUUUUGGAAUCCUUUGAUUUUGAUUUGAUAUGAAAUUUUUUGUUGACAUGGUAAGUACUAGCUAAGAAUUUUGAAUAUCCUAACAUGUUUGUUCUAUGAAAAUGAUUGUUAAAUUGUAUGACUAGGUAUUUAUAGUCCUAUUUGAAAAUAUGAAUAAAUUUCAUUCAUUUUCUCCGAGGUUUAAGCUAAAUACACUUGCUUCCCGUAUUUUAAAUCAAUAAAAGGUAAGUAGAAAUAAUAAAUAAAAAGAGUAGAAUAAGUAUUUAAUGAAAUUUCAAGCUAAUGAUAAGAAAGUAAACCAAAACCUGAAAGGAGGUAAUUGAAAUUAACUUUUGAAAAUAUUUUAUUCAUGAAAUGUAUCCAUUUUCAUCAGUGGACUUUAACCUUAUUUCAUUGUUUAUUAAUUUUUUUUUUUGUGACACUCUCAAUUAGGACGAGGAAUAAUAGAUAAAAUGGAAAAUAGUUGUCAACUAUAUUUUGUUUUUGUUUUUAUUUUUUAUUUUUAUAUAUAUAUAUUAUUUAAAUGUUAGAAAAAAAAAAAAGACCAUUUAGAUUAAUUGUUGAAAUUUGAAGUACUUUGGACAAUAGCAAAGUGUUUUGAUGUUUAAGUUUUAGUGGUUUUUAUUUAUGGUAAACCAAAUAGUUAUUUUCCUUGACAUUCUCCUUUUCUUUUCUUUGUUAUUUUCCGGGGCCAAAAAUUAUGUUGUGCCAUGGGACUGUCUUGAGAUUGAAAUCGGCCAUUAUUCGAUCCAAAUGUUCUGCCAUCGGAUUCGACAAAACAUACCUGGCUCGUAACAUAAACCUAAAUCCAUGCCUAACGGGCUCAAAACAGAAGAGGUUCGGGCCCCAAUCUAUCCACCCAAACCAAAUCAAAUAAAUCUCAUAAAGCUUGUGUGGACCCCGCAUUUCGGCUCAUGCGUUUCCCACUCGAUGGCGAGCUCGAUUUUUAUUUGAAAAAUUGAUUUUAUUUAUUGUUUGAAAAUGACUUGGAGUCACCACUUAUUUUUGUUUUAUUUUUUAAGGGUAAACAAAAUAAGAAAGAAAAACCCUAAGUGUGACUCCUUGUUUUGGAAAAGAUGGUCUAUGAAAAAUCGAAUCAGGUUCGGAGGUCAGGUUACUUAUCAGGAAGGUACGGUAAAGACCGUAGCACCCCUCUAAGUCCCUAAAAACAGGUCUCUACUAAUAAAAUGAAGCAAUCAUGGCAAUUGAUGAGGGAAUCAAUGAAUACUCAGAGUGAUCAUGCAUAUGUGAGAAUCGGGACAUGCAUAUACAGCGAUUAGAGGGAAAAUGGGUACAUACCUGGGCAACGAUCCACCAUGCGCUAUCAAUAGAAGAGUUAGUGCACAAUUUAGGAAUAAUUUCUAGCAUGCAUGUUAGAGAGCAGGAUAAAUCAAACAUGUAUCAUAAUCAAAUCGAUUUAUUAGUCAAUCAAUCGAUCAGUCACAUAUGUGGGGCUCCCACCAAAACCCGUUUAUUUUACAUGAAUUAAUCCCAUAAAUUCCAUUGUUUGGAAUUACGAAAAAUUCGUUCAUGCUUAUUAAAAACAAGAGGAGCAGAAGAUUGUUUGAAGACCAGAAUGGAAUUAAGCUAUUUGAGAGAAAGUCGGAUUUUUGAAAUUCAUUUGAAAAAUUGGAGUCUCGAAAGUUAUUUAAAGAAAAUUGGGAUUUUAGAGUUUAUUUGAAGAUUGGACUUUCAGGAAUUAAAUGCGGGAAUGAGAAUUUUUAGAAAUUAAAUUUGAACGAGGUUGAAAACUUUGAAAAUGAUUUGAGAGUUCGGGAUUUUAAAUGAGGCAAUAAGUGGAUGAGUGAAUAAGUAAAGGGAUGGAAUAAUAACGAUGGUGAAGUAACAAAGUUUAGGUAAAUAAUUGCGAAAGAUGGAAUUUUAGAGAUUUGACGAUGUGAAUUUAGAGAUUGAAAACUUAAGAAUUUAUUUAGAGAUGAGAUCUUUGGUAUAUGAAUAACUGAAUAAGCAAGUGGAUGGGAUAGCAUUAAUAACGAGAAUAAUCAUUAAAUGGCGAUAUAUGGACGACGGAGCUUUUGAGGUUGGAAAUUAGAUUUGGAAGUCGGGUUCUGAUGAAUUGAACUUUAACGAUUAGAUUAAAUAGAUAAUAUGGAAUAAUAAUGCUACUUAAUGAAAACAAUAUUUUAAACGAAUAGAAAGUGAGUAGUGGAAUUUUUAGGAUUAAAAAUUAAAUUAGGACGUUAAAUUUUUGAAGAGUUGGACCUUAAAUAAAUAAAUAGAUAGGGGAUAAGAAUUCUAACUACUGAAAAUAACAUUUAGGCGGAUAAUGGAAUUUCUGGGAUUGAAAGUUAAAUUAGGACAUGGGAUAAUGAUUCUAAAUGAUGAGGAUAACAUUUAAACGAAUUGUAGAAUUUUUAGGAUUGGAAAAUUAAAUUAAGACAUGAGGUUUUUGAAGAAUUAGAUUUUAAAUAACUAGAUGAAUAUGGGAUAAUAACUCUAAUUGAUGAAAAUAAGAUUUAAACGAAUUAGUGAAAGAUUAAAUUAGGAUUGAAAAAUUAAAUUAAAAAAUAUGGAGUGUUUGAAGGAUUAGAAUUAAGUUUUAGCGAAUGAGAUUUUUAAAAGGUGAUAAAUAGAUUCAUACGAAAUAAUAAUAAUAAUUAAUAAUCAUAAUAUUUAAGCUAGUGAAAUCGAAGUAUAAAUUUCGAAAUAAAAAUAUAAUUAAUAAUUUGUCUUUAAGUUUGAGCUAACUAAAUUGGUGAAGAUAAAAAAUAAAAUAAAAUAAGUAAAAUGACAAUGCAUGAAUAAGCUAAUAAUUUAUUAAAAUUAAAGACCUAAAACUUGUUAGGAUAUGAAGUAACUAAAUGGGCUCACUCAUCAUGGACUUGGGCCAUGAGAGUGGCUAGCAUAAGGAGCAAUUGGGCCUUCCAUCAGCAACCUUGGGCUUGGGCUCCAACUUAAACCCAAAACCAAAGCCAAUAUAGGAUUGGGCCUAAUGCCCCAGCUCAAGCCCAAGCCCAAGACUUCCUUUUUCUUCCAACUUGCCUCUCCCUCCGCGCCUGGCUUCAGCACGAUCACCACCUCCUCGUGGCGGCAGCGGCGACGCCAGCCAGCACCUGCCAGCACCAGCACCAGCCAGCACCUACCCGUGCCAGCACCAGCUGCACCUGAGGCCGCGAUUGUGGGUGCUCUCCGGUAUAAAAACCCCGACAAAAUGGAGAAGUAUGGUGUUCACCAUGGCAGGGCAUCAAAAACAUGAGAAAACAGCAAACAGAGCACAAUGGGAAAGGAUAAAAUGAACCCAUACAAGCCAUAUUAUAUGUCAAGCAAUCCACAUAAAAUCUUGAGAAAAGAGAGAAAGAAAAGUUCUUUACUAAAUAGAAGAAAAACCAAAGAUUGAUGGCAGUCAUACCUUUACCUUCUCCUUCAGGCUGCCUCCAACCAGCCCGAUUUUAAAAAAAGCUCAUCCGCUUUAUCCCCUUGCUCCUUUGGUAACUCUCUCUCUCUCGUAAUCUGUUGGCCCCCCCACGUUCUCGCACCAGCCCCCCUAUUCAUGCGAUUAGCAAGUAUGGCGUUUUCCAACCACUAGCAUGGCUGCCAUCCCUCAUUUGAUACCUGUCCAAUUCUGCUUUCCCCUAGCAGAAAAGGGGUCCCCCUCCCCUUAUUUUAAAAAGAAAUGCAAAGAAGUAAAAAAAAAAAAACUCUCUCCCGGGUCCCCCACAAAAGGGGUCUAUAAAUAUGCCCCUCUUCAGUAGAACUCACGAAUGUAAGGAAUGUGAACACUAAAGUGAAAAGUGAGUGUGAGUAAUGAGUGGGAUGAAAUGAGAUCUAUCGAAGAACAAAGGAGACCCCUAAAAGGAUGUUAGUGAGAUAAGGAUUCACUCAGACGAAUAAGUGAACACAAAGGCUCUAAUCUUAAAAGAAAGUGAUGUCUCGAAAUGACUCCGAGUCACUUUUGAAGACGUCUUAGAGAGAGUCUGAGUCCUUAGUGUGACUUCGGAGUCAUUUCGAGACAUCACUUUAUUUUAAGAUUAGAGUCUUUGUGUUCACUUAUUCAUCUGAGUGAAUCCGUAUCUCACUAACAUCCUUUUAGGGGUCUCCUUUGUUCUUUGAUAGAGCUCAUUUCAUCCCACUCAUUACUCACACUCACUUUUCACUUCAAUCUUCACAUUCCUUACACUCGUGAGCUCUACUGAAGAGGGGCAUAUUUGCAGACCCCUUUUGUGGGGGACCCGGGAGAGAGUUUUUUUUUUUACUUCUUUGCAUUUCUUUUUAAAAUAAGGGAAGGGGGGCCCCUUUUCUGCUAGGGGAAAGCAGCAUUGGACGGGUAGCAAAUGAGGGAUGGCAGCCAUGCUGGUGGUUGGAAAACGUCAUACUUGCUGAUGGCAUGAAUAGAGGGGCUGGUGCGAGAACGUGGGAGGGCCAACAGAUUACGAGAGAGAGAGAGUUACCAAAGGAGCAAGGGGAUAAAGCGGAUGAGCUUUUUUUAAAAUCGGGCUGGUUGGAGGCAGCCUGAAGGAGAAGGUAAAGGUAUGACUGCCAUCAAUCUUUGGUUUUUCUUCUAUUUAGUAAAGAGCUUUUCUUUCUCUCUUUUCUCAAGAUUUUAUGUGGAUUGCUUGACAUAUAAUAUGGCUUGUAUGGGUUCGUUUUAUCCUUUCCCAUUGUGCUCUGUUUGCUGUUUUCUCAUGUUCUUGAUGCCCUGCCAUGGUGAACACCAUACUUCUCCAUUUUGUCGGGGUUUUUAUAUUAGAGAGUACCCACAAUCGCGACCUCAGGUGUAGCUGGUGCUGGCGCGGGCAGGUGCUGGCUGGUGCUGGUGCUGGUGCUGGCUGGCAUCGCCGUUGCCGCCGCGGGGAGGUGGUGAUCGUGUUGAAGCCAGGCGCGGAGGGAGAGGCAAGCUGGAAGAAAAGGGAAGUCUUGGGCUUGGGCUUGAGCUAGGGCAUUAGGCCCAAUCCUAUAUUGGCUUUGGUUUUGGGUUUAAGUUGGAGCCCAAGCCCAAGGUUGCUGAUGGAAGGCCCAAUUGCUCCUUAUGCUAGCCACUCUCAUGGCCCAAGUCCAUGAUGAGUGAGCCCAUUUAGUUACUUCAUAUCCUAACAAGUUUUAGGUCUUUAAUUUUAAUAAAUUAUUAGCUUAUUCAUGCAUUGUCAUUUUACUUAUUUUAUUUUAUUUUUUAUCUUCACCAAUUUAGUUAGCUCAAACUUAAAGACAAAUUAUUAAUUAUAUUUUUAUUUCGAAAUUUAUACUAUUCGAUUUCACUAGCUUAAAUAUUCUGAUUAUUAAUUAUUAUUAUUAUUUCGUAUGAAUCUAUUUAUCACCUUUUAAAAAUCUCAUUCGCUAAAACUUAAUUCUAAUCCUUCAAACACUCCAUAUUUUUUAAUUUAAUUUUUCAAUCCUAAUUUAAUCUUUCACUAAUUCGUUUAAAUCUUAUUUUCAUCAAUUAGAGUUAUUAUCCCAUAUUCAUCUAGUUAUUUAAAAUCUAAUUCUUCAAAAACCUCAUGUCUUAAUUUAAUUUUCCAAUCCUAAAAAUUCUACAAUUCGUUUAAAUGUUAUCUUCAUCAUUUAGAAUCAUUAUCCCAUAUCUAUUUAAAGUCCAAUCUCUCGAAAACCCCAUGUCCUAAUUUAACUUUUAAUCCCAGAAAUUCCAUUAUCUGCCUAAAUGUUAUUUUCAGUAGUUAGAAUUCUUAUCCCCUAUCUAUUUAUUUAUUUAAGGUCCAACUCUUCAAAAAUUUAAUGUCCUAAUUUAAUUUUUAAUCCUAAAAAUUCCACUACUCACUUUCUAUUCGUUUAAAAUAUUGUUUCCAUUAAGUAGCAUUAUUAUUCCAUAUUAUCUAUUUAAUCUAAUCGUUAAAGUUCAAUUCAUCAGACCCCGACUUCCAAAUCUAAUUUCCAACCUCAAAAACUCCGUCGUCCAUAUAUCGCCAUUUAAUGAUUAUUCUCGUUAUUAAUGCUAUCUCAUCCACUUGCUUAUUCAGUUAUUCAUAUACCAAAGAUCUCAUCUCUAAAUAAAUUCUUAAGUUUUCAAUCUCUAAAUUCACAUCGUCAAAUCUCUAAAAUUCCAUCUUUCGCAAUUAUUUACCUAAACUUUGUUACUUCACCAUCGUUAUUAUUCCAUCCCUUUACUUAUUCACUCAUCCACUUAUCGCCUCAUUUAAAAUCCCGAACUCUCAAAUCAUUUUCAAAGUUUUCAACCUCGUUCAAAUUUAAUUUCUAAAAAUUCUCAUUCCCGCAUUUAAUUCCUGAAAGUCCAAUCUUCAAAUAAACUCUAAAAUCCCAAUUUUCUUUAAAUAACUUUCGAGACUCCAAUUUUUCAAAUGAAUUUCAAAAAUCCGACUUUCUCUCAAAUAGCUUAAUUCCAUUCUGGUCUUCAAACAAUCUUCUGCUCCUCUUGUUUUUAAUAAGCAUGAACGAAUUUUUCGUAAUUCCAAACAAUGGAAUUUAUGGGAUUAAUUCAUGUAAAAUAAACGGGUUUUGGUGGGGGCCCCACAUAUGUGACUGAUCGAUUAUUGACUAAUAAAUCGAUUUGAUUAUGAUACAUGUUUGAUUAUCCUGCUCUCUGACAUGCAUGCUAGAAAUUAUUCCUAAAUUGUGCACUAACCCCUCUAUUGAUAGCGCAUGGUGGAUCGUUGCCCAGGUAUGUACCCAUUUUCCCUCUAAUCGUUGUAUAUGCAUGUCUCGAUUCUCACAUGUGCAUGAUCACUCUGAGUAUUCAUUGAUUCCCUCAUCAAUUGCCAUGAUUGCUUCAUUUUAUUAGUAGAGACCCGUUUUUAGGGACUUAGAGGGGUGCUAGGGUCUUUACCGUACCUUCCUGAUAAGUAACCUGACCUCCGAACCCGAUCCGGUUUUUCAUAAACCAUCUUUUCCAAAACAAGGAGUCACACUUAGGGUUUUUCUUUCUUAUUUUGUUUACCCUUUAAAAAUAAAACAAAAAUAAGUGGCGACUCCAAGUCAUUUUCAAACAAUAAAUAAAAUCAAUUUUUCAAAUAAAAAUCGAGCUCGCUAUCGAGUGGGAAACGCAUGAGCCGAAAUGCGGGGUCCACAGCUUGGUUUGGUUUAAUUUUUUGAUAAAAACCCGAUCGAUUCAAUCUUUGUUACACAUCAGAUUUUAUCAAUUCAAUCAUUUUUUUCAAUAUUCAACACAAACAACCUUAUUUACUAAUUUUGGGACUUAACCUAAGUGUAUAUUUACAAGGACUAAAUAUUUUGAUGGUUUUAGGGUCUUAGUUAGAUGUACAAAUAAUAUGGACCAAGUUGUAAUGAUUUCACUAACUCUAUAAGAUUGGAUGUAAAUCUAAAAACAGAUAUAGAAUGUACAACUAACCUUGGACCAAAAACAAAUUUAGCUUGUGGAAAGCACAAAAGAAAAAAAUAAUAAUAUAAUGUUUGGUUCUUGAAAAUUUUGAAGGAAAAUGUAAGAGAAAGAGAAGGAAAAAAGUGAUGAAAAAUAAAAUUUUAAUUUAAAAUUAAUAAAUUAUUUUUACAAGUUUCUUCAAAUUUAUUUAACUUUUUUUUCUCUUUUAUAUAAAAAUUAAAUAAUUUGAAAAUGCAUAAAUUUUGAAUUAAUUUUACUUAUAUUAGAUUUUUUUUUCAAUUCUUUUUAUGAAAAAUUAAACACUAUUUUUUUUUUUUUGUUAAGUGAUUAAAAUACAUCCAUUUUCUCUUUUUUCACACAUCAGCAAACAAAAAUGUUUAACAAUGCCCUUAUUUUUUUUCUAUCUUUUCACUUUUCUUGUCCUUCAUUUUCUUCUCCAAGUUCUAUGCAUAAUCUUAGUUUCCAAGGAAAAAAAGGCUUUUCUUGCUUUAAUAAAAGCUAUUUCUUUUGUCCUUCAUUUUCUUCUCCAAGAACUAUGGAUAAUCUUGGUUUCCAAGGAAAAAAAGGGCUUUUCUUGCUUUAAUAAAAGCUAAAAGCUAUUUCUUUUGCCCUCAAAUAAACUUACCCUUCUUCAAUCUCUGUCCUCUAACUUUUGACUUUUGAGACAAAUAUAGUAAUCUAUAUUCAACUUGGUUUGAUUUUUUCCACUUUAAAACUAGCUUGUAAAAGGAGAAAUCCUUUUCCCAUGAAGUCAGGCAACCAACCACUCAAAGAACAGUACUUAAUUUUCUAUUCACCAAAUCUUAGAAGCACUUUAGCAAAAAUUAAUAAUAAUUGUCUGCAAACGGAGACAAAAGUCAAAGAGCCUUAAGAGUUGUUGCACAGAGUUCUUGUUCCAGUUAGGACUUUUCUUUUUACCAACAUUCAAGCCAAGAGGCAAUAAGAAAAGCUAGGGUUGGGCCCAUUUGUCUAAUUCUUAAUUGGGAAAAAACCAGAGGAUGCUAUUACAUUAAGGAGGAGCAGGUUCACCUAAUCAACUCUUUGCAAAAAUUUAGAUUUCAUAUUGGCCUUUGGGAUUUGAGAGCUCAAGGGUUGUAAACAAUGGAAGUUCUUCUUUCUCUUCAUUUGUAAAUGUAGAUUUUAAGCAGAACCGUAUAAAUCAUUUCGUGUUUCGUGUUUUUUGGUUUCAUUUUUUUUACUUUUUUCUCCCUAUUAUUAUUAUUUGUUGUAUUUUUCACAACAAAAUGGUAUUAUAGUACAAAUUAUUAGACCUAAAAUGGAAGAAACAUAUUUUUUUUAUGACAUGUUAAGAUGCAUGCUUAUUGGUUCAACAAGGAUUGUCCAAAGCAUUGAAAGGUAGAAAGACUCUACUAAUAAUGAAAAAAAUCCCAACAUUAGAUAAUCCAAUAGAUAUGAUGACUAAGCUAAUUCAUACAGUAAAAUUCAAAGCAUUAUUUGGACUUAAUUGAUGUUGGUAGCACUUGAAGGCCCUUUAUAAGUGUGCAAGCAAAGUAACAUGGAAGAAUUUAGAGUUUAUUCGAUAAUUUCAAAUAUUGAGAAUUUGAGUUAAGGUGAAAAUUAUUAGAAAAUGUCUUAAAUUCUAUUUUUGAGUAAAUUUGAAAGUCAUCUGUAAUUUCCUAAUACGAUAUAUUUUUGUGAGGGAAUUUCCAAUGAAUAUAAAGAAAAUAUAUUAUUAUGAAAUCUUUUUUAGGAUUUUGUAUGUUUUAACAAUUAUACAAUUAGUUUUCUAUAUAGAAUCUUGCAAUGUAAUCACGAAAAGAUUUUAACUAAAAGUGAGUCUCUUUUUGGGUAUAAUUGAGACUUUGUAAUUUAAGAUUUUUAAGAUUGUAAUCUACUUUAACAAUUGUAGAAGUUCUUUUCCUCUUUACUCAUGAAUAUAUGUUUUUAGUUUCCAUUUUUUCACUCUUUUUUUUUCCUCCUCUGUGGAUAAAAAAUUUAUUAUGUAUCUUAUGGAAACACUCUUAAAUGAAUUUUACUUUAUUGUGAUUAAGAGUUCGUUUGAUAGUGAUUCUAAAAAAUGUUUUUAAUAUUCUUAAUAUUCUAAAUUUUUUAUCAUUCAAGUGUUAAAAAUACUAAAAACGCUUUCUCCAAUCAUUCCCAAACACACUCUAAAAUUUCAAUGCAAAGGAAUCUGACGUCAUUAUUUUCAAUUUUUGUAAUAGUGAAAUAUCACCUAUUUUGGUUAGUAAGAAAUGCCCUAAUUCAAUUAUUUUUCUUAUCAUGAUUUACAGAUUAUGUUUUAGUAACUACGUCAGAUUGAUGAGCAAAGAGAAUGUUAUCAAACACUAUCUAUAUUGGCAGCUGCCCUCUGCAUGGAAAUAUUAUUAGUACUGUAUCUAAAGGGAGCCUCACUUGACUCUCUACAAUCACAGGAAUGAUGAUAUACUUAACAUUAUUAGAGAUCGACAAUUCUAACUUGACUGCUAGUGGGUGAGUUUCUUAGGGCUCUUUUAACAUUAUUGAAAAGGAAAAGUGUAUACACCAGAAAGAGUGAUAACUAUUCUCAAUCAAAGAUGCUAACCCCAAAGGAUCCAAACCUUAUUGAUAGCUCCCGUAGUGUUUUUUCAAUUUAGUUUCAAUCUAAGGUGGUGUUUAUUUAUUUUGGCUUUUUAUUGAAAAUAAUUUAUUUUCAGAAUUUAGGUCAUUUGUUUUUCUACUUUUUCAUAACUUAUUAUAAACUUUUUACUAAAUAAAAAAAAAUCAAAAUAUGUAACUUUUUCUAAAUAGAAAAAAUAACAUAUUGAUUUUUUUUUACUUUUUAAUAUUUAAUAGAAAUAAAAUACUAUAAAAACAAACAACUUAACAUUUAACACUAUUAAGUAUUAAAGUUCUAUUUAUAAUUAAGUAAAAAAACAAACACCAUUUAAGCCUUUUUCUGCUAUGAUUUUAUUGUUUUUUUUUUAUGAAAAACCAAAAAAAAACAAAAGAAGACUUCAUGCUUUAACCGGGAGGAUCUCUUUCUAUCCCAGCCCGUUUGGCCAAGGGUGAGUACAAAUUCUGACGUUUGAAGUGAGUAGGGGUGUAGCAGAUUCAUGCACGUCGAAUACAGAUGCAGUUGGACGAGUAGUCGCGGAUUCACAGUGCCGGUUAAAAAGCCAGUCUUAGGGUUCCUUCGCAGGUCCCAUCUUCACCAGCGGCUUUUUAUGCGCAGCAUAUCGAGACCGAGUUGAUGGUACCAGUGAACCGUCGAAGGUAUCAAAGGUGUUAGGUCCUAUAAUGAAUGGAUCCGAAUCCGCUUGGUCAACUUUUUCCAUUGCGGCUUGCUCUGAUGCAUUCUAUCUGAUAGUAAGGUGUGUGGAUACUUAAGCCUUUAGUGUCCAUAGCCUAUAGAGUAAGGCACUUACUCCUGCUCCUGGACAAAACACUUCUUAUUCUUCACCUGAGCUAAAAAAAGGUUUGAAAUCUACUCAAUCAACCAAAUUAAACUACAUGCAUUCCUCAUUGAAAUAACCAUCACCAAGUAUAGAAUGUAUUACAAAGUGCACAAUUCAAAAUUUUCAUCUCAUGCUUGUGUGUUGAAAUCUACACAACACAUACAAGAAUUAUAAGAACAAAGGAAAUUAAGAAGCAGCAGACAUCCCAUAUGUGACACUGCUCAAAAGUGAUGUUAAAUACAUCCCACUUUUUUCUUUUCACACCCACAAAACCAAGAUAUUUGACCAUGCUCUUUUUUUUUUCUUUCUUCUCUAUGCCUUUCAACUUUUCUUUUCCUUCCAAGAACUAGGUAUAAUCUUAGUUUCGAAGAAAAGAAAAGAAAGAAGAAGAAGCUACUUUUCUUGCUUUAAUAAAAGCUAUUUCUUUUGCUCUCAAAUCAACUCAUCUUUCUCCCAUCUUUAGCAUUAACUUUUGACUUUUGAGACGAAUAUAGGAAUCUCUAUAUCCACUUGGUCUGAUUUUUUCCCCUUUAGAACUAACUUGUAAAACGAGUGAACCCUUUUCCCAUCAAAUCAAGCAUCUAACCAUUCAAAUAACAGUUCUUAAUUUUCGAUUCACCACAUCUUAGAAGCACUUUAGCAAAAAUUAAUAAUAAUUGUCUGCAAACAAGAGACAAAAGACAAAGGGCGCGCCUUAACAGUUGUUGCACAGAGUUCGUAUUCCAAUUGGACUUUUCUUUUUACCAACAUUCAAGCCAAUACUAGGAUAAGGCAACAAGAACAGUCAGGGUUAGCCCAUUUGACCAAUUCUUCAUUGGGAGAAAACUAGAGGGUGCUGUUACAUUCAGGAGGAGCAGGUUCACCCAAUCAACUCUUUGCGAAAAUUUAGAUUUCAUAUUCAUGCUGAAUUUGAGGUUUUACCAAAAUAUUCUUUUUAAACUUUUUAUAAAGUUAUUUAGACAUGACCAUGGUUCAGAAUAAAUUUCAUUAAAAUCUUAGAGUAUGUUUAGUAAUGGUUUUGAAUUUUCAGUUCUUGAAAAUAAAAAUAAAAAUAGUUUUUCUACAAGGAUGAUAAAUAUCUGAAAGUUUUUUAAAUUAUAUAUAUAUAUAUGUAGGAAAAAAAAAAACCCUUUCUGAUAUUUAAGUUCAUUAACAUUAACUAUUAUAAAAAUUAUUACCAAACAAACCCUUAUUUAGAAUUUCUGUCCCUUAAAAAAUAUUUUUUAUUGAAACUUUACUUAGUUGUGAUUAAGAACUCACCAAUUUUGAUUGGUGAGUAAGAAAUGUCCUACUCAUUAAUUUUAUCAACAAACUACACGAAACCAAAUAGUUAUUUGUACAUCUAACUAUUUGAAGUGAUUCAUUUCAUACUAGGGCCAAUAUAUGAAUGAGGACUACUGUUACAUCCCUACCUAACUACUCUAGCUCAGUUGAAAGAUCCUUAACUGUUUUUUUUUUUUUUUUUUGUUAAAUAUCAUUUUUCUUAUCUUGAUUUUCAAUUUUUUUAUUAGUAACUACAUCAGAUUCAUAGGCUAAUAGAAUGUGAUCAGAUAUUAUUUAUAUUGGUAAGUGGCAACUGCCCUUUGCAUGGGAAUUAUUAUCGUAGCUUAAAGGAGCCUCAUUUAACUCUCUGCAACCAUAGGAAUGAAUAAGAUACACCUAACAUAAUAGAGAUUAAUAAUUCUAAAUUGACUAGUAGUGCUUGAGUUUCUUAGCCCUCUUUUAACAUUAAUGAAAAGCAAAAGUUCGUACACCAGAAAGAGUGAUAACUAUACCCAUUCAAAGACUCUUCAGGUCUAGAUUAUUUGAAUCCAGUUUUCCUUUCCCAUCUGCCAAACAUGGCAGAUCUAAAACCUAAAUUUAGAUUGAACAUGACCCACAAGAUAGAAAGAACAAAAAAAGGGUUUGAAAUUUUCUCGAUCAACCAAAUUAUACCAACUCCAUUACUCAUUGAAAUACCCAUCACCAAAUAUAGAAUGUAUCAGUAUUACAAAGUGAACAAUUCAAAAGUUUCAUUUCAUGCUUCUGUUGUUGAAAUCUAUACAACACAUACAAGACUGAGAAUAAGGGAAAGAAGCAGCAAACAUCCUGGUUGAUCCCUAUCAAACAAUCCCAAAACCAGGAAAAAUGAAAAAAAAGAAGAAAAAAACCCAGAAUCCAAAUUACAAAAGAAAGAAGAAGAAUGAAAGAAUUGAUGAUUAUACAAAAGUGCUGCAAAUUUGUAAAGGAGAUCCUCUUAAAAAAACACAGGCUCCAAGUUUCACCAACAGUCAUGAAUCUUUGUCGUCUCUCUUAUCAUAGGGAAACCUCACAAAUUUGCCAAUCAAAUGAACCAAAAAAUCAUCAUGGGGACGUUGUUGUUGAAUCAGAGCUGUUGCCCUUGCAGUACCUGAGCUCCAAUGAAACCUGUCUCUCCAUCUGGAGCUGUCGAUAGAAAUUCGCUAUGAAAUCUUCAGCUCUCUUAUCAACAUCCUCUUCGCAUGGGCCGCUGAUCGUCCUCUGAAUCCCCCGCGACGAACCGGGCUGAUCUUCUGAGUCGGUAUCUUCAGUGCAACCCCUCAAGCCAGGCCUGUCAUUGAAGCUGAAUCUUCUUGUAUCGGAAGAAGUGCGGAGCAUGGAGGCGACAUGCCAUCUAUGGAUGCCAAAGUUGAGCAGGAAGCCCACUUUUUUCACUGCCCUCCUCAGGCGGCUGAGCAGUGAUGAUUUGUUGUUGCGUUUGGGCAUACUCAUCUUGGAGAAUUGAAUGAAGGAAUGGAUGAUUGAAUAUUGAAAGUUGGGCAGAUGUGGAUGAGACGCUCUCUAUAUAUAGAGAGACAGACAGAGGGUGGAGAGAGACGUCUCAAAGAAGCUCAAGCAUUUGACGUCGAAGAAGUUGCUAGGUAAUGGAGACGAAAAAAAGGAAAACCGUGUUACAGAUGACAGCUAUACUUACGUGGGAAUAUUGUAGCUGGAAUAUUAGAAGCCAUGGUCAACACUUUGAUCAAUUCUUCAUUAGUACACUGAGAUUAAUAUUUCACAAAAAAAAAAAAAAAAACCAGUUGAUAGGAGGUUACUGGGCAUGGAAAUUGUUUUUGAAAAAUAAUUUUUUAAAAUUUUAUUUUCAAUUAUUCUUUAUAUUUAUAUAAUUAUUUUUUAAAACAAUUCUAAAAAAAAAAUUAAAAUAACAAAAAAUGUUAUUAAAAACUAUUUCCUAUUUUUAAAAUAAAAAAAAUCAUUUUUUUUAAAUAAAAAACAAUUUUUGAAAAAAAAAAAUUAGUCAUCCAUUUUUGAAAAUAAUUUUCUCUUUUUCAUAAUAGAAAAGUGUUCUUUAACUCAAAAAACAUAUUGGGCAAACUUUGAGUGAAAAACAAUUUUUUAAAGAAUUUCUUCUAUAUUUAACAAUAAAUUAAAAAUAUUUCCAAUUGUUUUUCGAAAAAUGCUCUUAACAAUGAUUCAAAUAUAAAUAGUAAUUUGAACACUUUUAUAUUAUAAAUAUACUGAAGUGGAUUUUUACUAACAAAUCAACAAAAAAAUUAUUUUCUAUAUUUGAGUUCUCGAUUAUUUUUUAAGAACUAUUUUAAAAAAGAUUGUAUAUAUUAUAAUUUCCAGCAUGUUUAUUUUUUUUGUCAAAAGAAGUGUAAUGCUUAAGUUUUACUUGCCCACUAGAUCUUAUUUUUUAUAAAUUACAGGAUGGUUUUUUGGUCAAAGAUGUGUAAUGAUUAAAUUUUAUUUGGUGUCAACUGAUAGUAAUCCUAAUGAUUAAAUUCCAUCUCAGAAGUUGAUCAUGUGAGUAAUUUCUUAGCCAAUAAUGCAAAGUGUUUUGAAGUUUUCUACCAAUUCAUGUUUCCCCAUUCACCACAUAAUUGAUUUAGUCAUUAAUUCCCACCUAAUCAUUAUGGAAGAUUUUUUUUCUUUCCUUUUUAAAUUCUAACAAAACCUCUUUGUAAUUAUUAAAGUCCUACCUUAGCCUUAGGAUAUUUUAAUUAAAAUAAAGAGAUUUAGGGCAGCAAAUAUGGGUUGAAUACUUCUAGAAAAGUUUAGAUAUUUUCUUAGGAUGAUUAUCAUAAUCUCCUUUUUUUUCAAACAUUUCGGGUUUCAUGGUUUAUUUUAAAAGGAAAAACUAUAGAUGGUAGAGAUUUAUCUUGAAAAUAUAAUAAUUUUAAAAAUGAUUUAAAAAUGUAAGUGUUAAAUGAUUUUAAUAAAUUUUAAUAGUAAUUUUAAUAUUUAAGAGUUUAUAUAUUUUAUAUAAGAGUUAUUAUUAUUAUUACUAUUAUUAUUAUAUAGAAAGGGCAUCUAAAGAUCAUCAAUGUCUUUAGUAAUGCUUUUAAUUGAAAUAUUUUUUAGUGAAAGUGUUUUUCUAAAUAUUUUUAAUCAAAGUGUUUUUAGGAUAAUCACAUAUGAAGUAUUUCUUCAAAAAAUGUUGUUAGCCCAAGGGUUCUCCUAAUCGGGUUUUGAUGAUAACAAAUCAUGAUUAAGUGACUAAUUUGUUUAAUGGUUAAGAAUCUUAGGAAUAAACUCGAAAAUUCAUCAAAUGACCAAAUUGAUACAAGAUCGAGACGCUUAGAAGACUUGUGAUCAUAGGAAAAUAAUGUAAGAUGAAUGCAUGAGUACACCUAGGAUUUUUACACCUUUCAUGCAACUUAGAAAACUUGGUUUAUUCUUUAAAACUUUGAUUUCAUUAAAACCCGAGUUUUUAACUAAUGUACCUUAGGCAAAAUGUUUUAUAAUUGACUUAAUAAUUCACCUAAAGACAUUGCAUAAGUGUUAGAAAAGAAAGGAAUUAAAAAAAUAGGUUUUCGGGCAAAAAAGGCUCAACUGGUCGAGGCUAUUGCCAACCGGCUCAACUGGUUGAGGAACCGGUCAAUCGGUUGUGCUCGUCCGGUCGAGAACCGGUCGAGGAAUGCCAAAAACUUUCUCUCUCUCCCAGUGGCAUUUUCUUCCCGGUCGAGAUGAUUCUCUUCCCGGUCGAGACAACGGUAACCUGUCAUGCAUUAAAUGUUCCAACAGCUAGUGAACCGGCCGACCCCUAACUCGACUAGACGAGGUUAACUUUUACUAUUUUUGACUCCCUGAGCUUAGAAACCUAUAAAUUGAGAGGUCCACUUCAUUUAUUGACAAGAGAACACUUGCAUUCAAUAGUCUACCUACCUGCUCUUGAUCAAAAAGCUCUCAUUUCUUUCAUAGUGCAUUAAAUCACCACUUGCAUAUCCUUUGGUGCACUCUUGUGUGUCAUCCUAGCUUUUUCUUGUAUUUGAGCUAUCCUUAAGCUAGGUUGAGGGAUUAUUUCUUGUAAAAAUCUGAGUGUUAAAGUCUUCAAGAGGUUUGAAUCUUGAAGAGAUUGUGUAAGAGGUCAUUGGAACCGAAAUCUAAGUGUAAGAAGAUUGGAAGCUUGGUUAAAGCUUCAAAUUAGUAGAACCUUCACUCGGUUAGGAGAUUGAGGAGAGUGGACGUAGGCAAGGAAAUGUCGAACCACUUUUAAUACUGUAAGUGAUUUUUCAAAAUUUUAAAAGUAUUUCUUAAAUUUUUAUUCCAGUGAGUUCAGGGAUUAUAGUCUGGUAAAGAUAGAGAGACUUAUAUAUUAUUCUAUAAGCUAUUCCAUAGGUAUGUGUACAUAGUUGUUAUUCUUUUCCUUUCCUCUCCUCCUCUUCCAAAUACAAUAGUCCCUUUAGUCGAAUUAGGAUUUUAUUUAUUUUUACUAAAUGAGGAAGUUGUUUUAUAUAGUAGGUUUUUAUCCUUUUUUGGUUCCAAGGUUUUAUUUCGUGGGCUUUGGUAAACUCUUUGACUCACACUCGUAUAAGGUUUUCAAAAUAGCUGAUAAGAUCUUGCUCUCUGUAGAAGGAAGAACAACAAAGCGAAAAGGCUAUACGAGUUUUGAUAAAGGGAAAGAGUGUGGUUAGGAACGAGGAAAGGGUCUUCCUUUUAGUAUUCAUUUUCGACAUUAUGUAUUCCACAGUGAAUUUCUUCUUCCAUCAUUUAAAGGGGCCCUAAUCUCGAGGAUCCCCUUCGAACUGAUUGAGAUAACCAAGCCUCAAACUCUGGUCACCUCCCUCCUCCUUUGUCUUAGUGUUGAGAUACCCAUCCAGCCAGGUACGGUAUUUCCACCUUCAGCCGACUCUUCUUACGAAUCGCUUAAAUAGGAAAGAAAGCCUUCUUUAUGGUGACAAAAAAAACAGUCUAACUAAAGACGUUUAGCCUUCAAAAUCAGUACCGAUUGACCAAUUCAUCUUUUUAUGGUAUGGAGAUGACUUCUAAACUCUUUUGGAUUACCCGAAUAAAGUCAGCAUGGGUGGGGAAAGCUGCCGAGAUUAAGAGAAAAUCCGUUGGGAGAAAAAAUCAAGUUAAAAAGAGAAGACGGCGUAGGAGUCUCAGUAGAGCCAAAGAGAAUGCGUCAAAAGGAGCAUAGAGCAUAGUGGAGUCACGGAGCGGUAAUGCGAGCGACGAGCGUAGUUGCUUAGCUUGGCUUGCCUUUUGAUAGAGAUCCAGGUCCCAAGUCCAAUUGCUUAUUUGUUUGAAUGCGAGUGCGAGUUCGCCGACUACUGGAUACUGGAAUUCUCUGUGUGUGUUGGUUCAAUGCUUAGAAAGAAGGAUCGGACAUGAAAGGAAAAGUUUUCUCUCUCACAGUACAAGAAUAGUUGUCUCUUCACUUCCCCGGAUUGCUACCCCAGUUUGUCUUUAAGACUUGUGAUUGAGUGGGUUUGCCUCUCAUCCUAAGUUCCUGUUUUCAAGACAGCAUAAACCAGUGCUGAUCGGAUAGAAAGGAGUUAAGCAGUCAGUUGAAGUAAGAGAGUUGCUGGUUUUUUGGCUUUUGCUUUGCAUCUGCUGGGUUUAAAGUGGCAAACCUAGCUUUAGAACUCUCAACAAAGAGUCCCAUCUGAUUGAACGGAAGAAGUCCAUCUGUAACCCUAUGCUCGAGUUGACCUAGCGCAAUAUCUCUCCCCUUACGGUGGAAAAACUGUUGUUGGUGGAAGCUCCACAAUAUAGUAAAUCACUUCGUCAGCUUCAAAAACUCAAUCUGCCUCUCUCCCCUCCGCUCUGGCUAACAAUCAGAAUCGCCUGAUCCUUCUCGUGCUCCUACUCUCCUUUCUCUAUCCCCCCGAAAGAGGCAGGCGUCGAAUCGAAUGACUAUGCUUAAACUCGCAUGCCCUUCUCGAAACAGGUUACGGGAUUCUUCAGUCUCUAGCCUAUGGUCGUAGGUCUCCGGUCCUGCCCCUCCUUCCUUUCCUUUUCUGACUUACGACCAGCAAACACCUCUCGAGGGAGCUCCAGAUGUAAACUUCUACAAUAGAGAAAACAUAUUCACUUUCAGUCCAAUUUUUGGAGAGAAAUUCAAAUGAUAAAUCGAGUCCCAUUCUUUAAGAUGGGUAUAAAUAAGGUAAAGGAUUGUCGUAAGUACUCAAAGGGACGGUUACGGGAGUAGCUAAAAUUGGGUAAGAUUUUUAGCUGGGACGUGGUAGCUCAUUCGCCCUUCACUCGGUCACGAGAUUCUAUUGUGUUUCCGAGGCCCAAAAUCUUGAAGACAGUUAUGAAGAUGCUGAUAAAGGGAUGCUCCUAGUAACCGAGUGUCUAGUUCGGUUGGUGAUUAGUUCACCCGCUUGCUCGCUUCCAACACAAGCACGCUAUCUUUUCUUCGCCCUCUACCACAAGGACCGGUUCCCUCAAGGGGUAACUAAAACACCAUCGGUGCAUUACAAACUUUUAUCAAAGAACCAACGGUGUUAUGACUUGAUAUCUCAAACCAUAAAGAUAUAAAAAGGUCAUGUAACAAGGGGCCAAGCGUACCUCCUGUUCAGGAACAAGAUAAGAGGGCAGAAGCACUACACUUGUCGUACGUACUAGUGUGCCCAUUAGUUAGAUAAAAGUUCUUUAUCCAUGUAUGCUUUCAAUUAAAAAGGUAGACACAACAAAUAUGUUUCAUACAUCUCUGUUUUGUGCAUUUGAUUUUAUGUUUCUACCUGAGAAUGCUAACAAAAGCAAAGCAAAUGGUCGCAACGAUUCUACUUGUUGCGGCUCACGAAGCUCCCCUAAACAAGCUACGGAGUGGUAUGGGCCGAUAUUAUUAAUAUUGGUCGGACCCGAAAAGGUGUAAACCUUGAAGGGCCACCAUAACCCCAAGUCUCAUUCCCGAAAUUUCACCAAGCUCUUAAACUAAUUCGUCCGAAGAUACUCGACCUUAAACCAUCCGAUAAAGAGGACUAGCAUAAAGAUUCAAUUAGUAUAAAAUUAAAGAAUUAUAUAUAUUUAAAGCUUACCUACUAAGAACAAAAGAACGAGAACCAGAAGGGUCCCAAGUUAAGCAUCCAUUAGCAGAAGAAGGCAAAUAAGGAUUACUGCCAAAGAGCCGAUAGCCAAUCGGGGCAGAACUAAUGCCAAUAAAGAAACAGAAAAAAAAAAAAAAAAGGACACAAACUCCCCUGGCAUAGAAACAACAAAAACCUAAUUGAAAAUGAAACAUGUUCAAAAACACUUUUUUAAUUAAAAUUCUUCUUGUAUUACUAUCAAGCAGACUUAAAAUGUCAAUAUAUUUUUUCAAAUUUGUUAUGUUUUUUGUUUGUUAAUUUAAAAUUUUAAAAAUUUUAAAAAAUAUCAAAUAUUCAUUAAUUCAUAAAAAUAUUCAAUUAAGAAAAUAGGGGAAAAAUCCUCAAAUUCUUUUAUUUGUUUUAUGAUGAAAAUUCUUUCUUCAAUUGUACUCUUUUUUCUUUUUUCCUUUUUUCUUUGUUGGCCUUUAUUUUCUUUCCUUCUUAAUAUGUUUUCAAAUUAAAUCUGAAACAGUAUCUGCUUUGGAAUAUGCUCUUUCAAUAGGCAAGAAAUUGACCAAAAAAUAAAAAAAGAAAGAAAAGAAAAAUUAUUUGACCAACAUAUGGAAUGUUCAAAGAAGCAAAUGAAAGCAGGCCACGUGGUCAAAUAAGAUAACGUUAACGUUAAGAGACUUGUGCACCAAGUUCACAUCAAUGGGCAAAGGUGGACUUGAUUUAUAGUUUGAUCUACUAUUAACCACAUGGUGCACAUGGGCUUUAAGUAGGGUUUAAGGCCCCACAAGUUUUAAUAUGAUUCCAAGCUUCAUAACCUAUCAUUUUUUACAUUUAGUAUUAAUUUUUGGUUAGUGAAUUCAUAUAUUAAAAUGGGUUCGUGCAUGCAAGAAUGAAAGGAAUUAAAAACUAAGAUUGAGUUUGAUGGAACCGGCGUCUAUUGAGUUCAUGGAUUAAGCAAAAGGUGUGAUUACGAUAUAUAUAUAUAUAUAUAUAUAUAUAUAUAUAUAUUAUAAAAACUUAGCUUGCAAGUAAAUUGAAAAUCUUGAAAAAUAUGCCAAUAAUUUAAGAUUCCAAGCCAAGACCAACAUUGAAAAAGGGGCGGAAAUUAAGGGAAUAUUCCCUUAAUUAUAUAAAUAUAUAUAUAAUUUAAGUUUAUUGAUCAAGAAAAAGGUACGAUUAGGACAUAUAUUUUAAAAACUUAGCUUGCAAGUAAAUUGGAAAUCCUAAAAAAGUAUGUAAAGAUUGCAAUUGCAUGGAAACUGAAUUAAAUGAGGAAAAAUAUCAAGAAAAAGGGGAAAUUAAGGAAAUAUCCCAUUUUUCUAACUUAAUUUGACAAGAAAAUAUAUAUAUAUAUAUAUAUAUAUAUAUAUAUAUAUAUAUAUAUAUAUAUAUAUAUAUAUAUAUAUAUAUAUAUAUAAUUUACCUUAUAUUCUUAAAAACUAAUAUCAAAAUUUUAAUUUUAAAUAUUUUGAAAAAUCUAUAAUGAUAAAAUAAGCAUGUUAUUUUUUUUUUAAAUACAAUAAUAAUAAUAAUAAUAAUAAUGUGUCUCCCCACAUGACUUAAACUCAAAUUUAUUGUAUUUUUUUUACUUUUUUCUUAAAAUUUCUCUAAACUAUCCACCAAUCAAGACUAAAAAUUGGGAAAUUUAAAAUAUUGGAGAAUUGAUAAAAAUAGAUAAAAAGUUUAUAUUAGAAUCAUUAAUUUUCUUCGGGGUUUUAAAAUUUUUAUUAUUAUUAUUAUUAUUAUUAUUAUUAUUAUUAUUAUUAUUAUUAUUAUUUUAUAUAUACUUUAUGACAAAUCAUCUUGUGACACGUGGACAAGAGGAUGCAAAAAGAAGUAUAUAGUGAUAGGUGGUGGUCUCUUGGACGGCUGCAGCCAACAAUGGGACCAUCUGUCAAAUAAAACUUAGUGUGAUCAUCAAAAAUUGAUUUUUUUUUUUCAUGGAAAAAGAAAUUUCAAUUUUUUUUUUCUCCCUUUCCUCAAUUUAAAAAAAAAAAAUUAGUUUCUUAAUUAUUUGAAAUAUUGUUUCUAAUAUUUGAACGUAAAUAAGAGAACGUUUAUUUUAAUAUGUAUAAUUUUAAAACAAAAAGAAUUAAUUCCAUAUGUAUAAUUUUGACACGAAAAGGAUUAAUUGCUAACUUGAUUGAUUGAUACGCAAAAGCCUCUUUUAAUUUCUUUUCAAUUUUUAUUAAAUGAAUACAUCAGACUUAUACUACUUGCACAUCAACCUGAUAAUAAAAAAAAAAAUUGAUAGAGAAAAUAAUAAGAGUGAUGAAUUUCAUUUUAAGAAGAAUUUAAAUAUUUAUUUUAUGUUUUUUACUGCAAUAAAUUUUUUAGAAAAUAAUUAAAUAUUUGCAAUUAAUCACCCCCUAAAUCUCAUGAACAAGUGAAAGGUAACAUUUAUGAUAACUAGUGCUUGUAGGUAGGCGAAUGUGAGUUGUGGUUGAAUGGGCUGAAAAUCGGGCCCAAUGGCCCAAAUACAGGCCCAACUUAGCCCAAUCUUUGGAUCUGGUCCUGCGCCCAACCCAAUUAUGCCAGGGCCUCAGCCUGGGAGAAAGCCCAAGCCCAGGAGCCCUAGUUGGAUUGGCUUGGGCCUGUCUGAGGUUGGCCUAAAGUCCCACGCCCAGAGUCCUAGACCACCCAAAAUGAAGCAGUGUUUCGUGCACAAAAAAAAAACCAAUGGAAGUAUUCCCACGUUUUUCCUGGGAUCCAAACAAAUGAACGUUAUAUAUAUGAAAAUUUCAAGAAAAUAUUGAUGAAAUUUAUGGGAAUUAGAGUUUAUGCGUUUGUUUUUCAUAGUUUUCAAUUGUAGACUCAAGUGUUUAUUUAUGUGGAUCAAAAUAAUCUUAGAUACUUUUAGAAAAUUUUACAAAGUUACUAAAAAGUAGUUUGUUAGUAAUUUUAUGAAAUGUUUUUAAUAUUUUUAUCACUUAAAAAUUUAUAUCAUUCAAGUGUUAAAAAUAUUCCUUUGUAGGACUUUCUUUUUCUUCUUCUUAAUUGCUAAAAACGUUUUCUAAAACCAUUGUCAAACGGAUUCUAAGUUUAUUGAGUCAUAUCUCAAUUUUUCAAAUUAAAGAGAUUUGAACCAUUUCCAAUUUUCAAAUACGAGAUGAAAUUUAGGCUAUGUUUGGUUCUCAUAAAAUUUGAGGGAAAAUACAAGAGAAAGAAAAUAUAAAAGAAAAAUAAAAGAAAAUAAAAAAUAAAGGAAAAUAAAAAAUGAAUUAAAAGUUGAUAAAUUAUUUUUUUUUAUUACUUCAAACUCAUUUUAUUUAUUUUAACUCAUCAAUAUAAAAAUUAAAUAAUUUUAAAAUACAUAAAUUUUUAAUUAGUUUUAAUUAUAUUUGAAUUUCUUUUAUAUUUUUUAUAGGACAAAUAAACAUAAAAAAAUCAUUUUUCUUUACAUUUUUUUUUAUUCCUUAGUAUUUUCUGAAUCAAAUAUAACCUUAGAAUAUUCUAAUAAGUUUAAUGCUUUUAAUAGUUUUUGGAGAUUGAUCUAUAAAAUAAUUAAAUUCCACAAUGAUGUGGUGGCCCAAUUAUUAAUCUAUUAUAGGGGAGAUGGUCAAGUCCAGUAGGCAAAUGGCAUGGGAGUGACACAUGAUCAAUACUCAGUCAACUUAUCAAUGGUUCUCCUUGGGUGGCUGGGGACUGGCAGACCAAAAUUUUGAAGUCAGGGGCCCAUGUUCUUUGAAGAUGAUGUAGCUGUGUUGACUUUACAACAUAUGCCAAAAUAAUAAAUAAUUUUAUUUAUUUUAAAUUAUUAAUAUAAAGGUUAAAAAUACAUAAGUUUUUAAUUAAAUUUAAUUUUUUUUUUUUUUUAGUAUUUUUUGGAAUCAAACAUAAGUAAAAAAAAUGUGGAAAAAGUUAAACUAAUCAUUUAUGCCCCACAGAGUUAUAAUGUGUGGUCAGCGUCUCAUUCCAAAUUUCACUCCAAAUACUGAUGCGACUGCAAAUCCGUAGGCCGUCCAAACUGACUUCGUUGACCAGCUGUUUAAUUAUGACGAGACUCAAAAGUGAGAAAAAUAAAUUAAAAUAAAAAAGUAAAAAAAAAAUGGAGAAAUUUGGAGAUGAAAGUAGCUCGAACCAAGUUUUUUUGUAUUUAUCCAAAAAUUUAAUCGAAAUAGCGGCCCCACAGAAAAGAAAACGAGGGCUGCUUUUAUUUACUUUUUAUUUAUUUAUAUAUUUUUAUAAAAUUCAAACGUUGAUAUUUUCUUUUUCUUUUUUUUAAUAUUUUCAUUCACCGUUAAAGAUUAUAGUUUUGUUUAUUCAUUUGACCAUGCUGGUCUCAUUACAUGGACUCCCAUCUUUUUAAAAGCCAACGUUUUGCUUGUGCUAAAUUGCUAGUUGAAUGGUAAGGUUGGAAAAGGUUCUAUCAUCUAUGUGCCAACUGCAUAGUCCUAUUUGAAUUUGGUAGGUGUGACUUUUCUUUUUAUUUAUUUUUAUUUUGGCAUUAUUCAUUUUUUUGGGUACAUGUGAAUAGUUUUUGAGUUUUUAGUUUCCAUAAUUUUAGAAAUAAUUAAAAUUAGCAUUGUAUGAUUGGCCUUGAGAAUUAUAUUUAUUUAUUUAUUUUUAUCUGUUUUUUGAGGAUUGUUUUAAAAAAUAAUUAUAUAAAAAUGGAUAAUAAUUAUAAAUAGAGAAUUAUGGAUAAAAUUUAUUUUUAAAAUAUAUUUAAAAAUAUAAAAAAUAGAUGAAAAUAAAUAUUUAUAUACUUUUAAAUUAUUUCCAUCAGUUUUUACAGGGUGGAACCAGCUAAUGCUUAAGGAGAGCAUAUGCCCCCCUAAAGUUUGUCUCUAUGCCAACCCCACCCGGCUCUCUGCCCUCCAAUUUAGGUUUCCUCUGACAUAAAUUUAAUUUUUAUUAAAAAAGAUGUUUAUGCAAAAAUUGAGUAUUACCCUUCAUAACAAAUUUUUUAAUGCUUGGAAUCAUGGUUUGUCUCUUUGUAGCCCUGAAAAGCCUCAAGAUUCGAUAUAAACGAAGGAACAUCAAUCUCCAAUGCAAAAAUUGAGAGCCACAGGAUGCACCAAACCAGAGGAAAAUAGGUACACCAACCCCACUUGUGGCCCACCUUCUGCCCAAAUGUCGACAUCAAAUGCAUUAAUAGUGGUGUGGCAUCAUUGACAGGUAGAGACAACAUGACUCUGCCCAUAUAUAUUUUACAUAAAAAACCAAUUCAUCAAAUGUCAAAACCUACCAACGGUUGGUGAGAUUGCCAAACAUGUGUAUGAUUCAAUGGUAGUUUUCAUGCCACUUUCUGUUUUGUGGGCUAGGGAUAUAGUCUCCUAUUUACUCAUAUUUUCUAGGGCAAGAAUUUUGGGGUGAUUUGGAAGUAGGAUGGAUUUCAUAUCUAGUUAAUUUGAAUAUUUAGAGGGUGUUUGAUAAAUCAAAUUAAAUGACUUAAAAAGUGACUUAAUGAUUUAAUGAUAUUUGUUUUUUUUGUUGAAUAGAAAAAGUCAAAAUAGACUCGGUUUUAAUUAUGUAGAUUGAUAUUAAUAGAUUAUUUUUAAUAAAAUAAAAAAAGUAAAAUAUUUUGAUUUUUUUAUUCAAAAAAAAAAACGAACACCAUCUUUACUUCAGUCUCAAUUUUUUUUCUAAUAAACAUACUUUAGAUUUAAGUAAAAAUGAAUUAAUUAUUUUGAUUUAAUAACUAAAGUCAUUUUUAACUUUAAGUUAUAAUAUUAAAUUAUUUUAACAAAUAUUUUUAUUUUAUUUAAUAAUUUAAAUUGAGUCAUUAAAUCACUUUAAAUCAUUAUGUUGAUGUAUCAAAUACCCUUGUGAUGUUUGUUUUUUGGUUGAAUAAAAGAAGGUAAAAUAUUUUAUUUUUUCUAUUUAGUUAAAAGUAAUAUAUUGAUAUCAACCAUAUAAUUAAAGUGAACUUAUUAUCGAUAAGUUUAAUUUAGUUAUGUUGGUUGAUAUUUAUAGGUUACUUCUACCUUAAUAAAAAAAAGUCAAAUAUUUUAAUUUUUUCUAUUCAACCAAAAAAUAAACACCACCUAGUUUUUAUUUCAAUAAUUUAUGUAUGUUUUAAAACUAUAUUAAUUUGAGAUUAUUUGGGGUUGGUGAAUCUUGACUUUACUUUUAAUUCAAUUAUUUCUAAUAGUUUAUGUUUUUAAGUAGUUAUUUAUUUGAUUGGAUUUAUAACUUAUUUGCUAGUGAUUCCCAAGGAGUUGGAAGCUAUUUCAAAUGAUUGAAAACAUUUUUCUUAUAAAAAUGAGAUAGUUGACAAAGUUCUAAAAAUCUAAUAUUGACCUAGGUAGCAAUUUGAUUGAUUUACUUAUUUAUUUUUUAAAAAUACUCUUUUAUUAUAUUACAUAUUACUAAAAUAUUAAUUUAGUUUAUUUUUAUAUACUAACUAUUUAAAAACCUUUUGUGAAAUAAGUUGUAAGAAACAUGUUAUGAAUUAAAAAUGUAAUUAUUAUAAUUUCUCUCAAAUAAGUACUUAAUCUAUUUUUUAUAUAUUAAAUAACUUUGAAAGUAUUAAUAAAGCUAAUGAAAAUUUUAAUUUUUUUUAUUUGUUGCAUACAUUGAUAGCAUAGAGGACUACAAAAAUGAAUGUGGUACCCAAGUGGAUGGGUAAAUAUAUCAUCAUAAUAAAUACUAAUAUAAGGAAAAUCAUUUUUCUUUUGAUUUUUGAGUAAAAAUAAUAUAUUUUAAAAAAAUUAUUAAAUAAAUAUUCGAUCAAAAUAAUUCUCAAAUUAGUACAUUUCAGUCACUUAAACUAUUGGAUUGUAAAGUCUAAUUCAAUUUUGUCGUGCUUUGCCUAGUCAAUUCAUAGGAUUGAGCUCAUUUAUGUGAUGAUUGAUGAAUUUAUCUUUAUUAUAUAUUUAGCUCUUUUAUAUUAAGGGUUUUGUUUUUAGAGAAUAUAAUUGUAAUUAAGAGAUUUUUUUUUAAAGUUUCAUUAUCGUAACUUUUUCUUUUUUUUCUGAUUAGUGGAUUAUUAAAUGUUGGUGCAUUACAUGAACGUAGGGAUCACAUUAAUCAUCAAAUCAUAUUAAAAUUAUCAUCUUUUUAUUUUUAUUUCCUAUUUGUAGAGACAUCCACGUUAUCUAACAUUUUUCUUAUAUUUGGAGUUAAUGACUAUUAUUUUAUUUUAAAAAUAUAUAUAAAAUUAUAGUCGAUGAUUAUAUUUUUAAAUUUAUUCUUAAAAUUAUAAUAUCAACUACGGUUUUGAGUUUAAAUUUAAAGUUAUAAUUAGUAAUUAAAUAUUGAUCAUUAUAAAAAAAAAAAUCAAAACCGUAUGUAGCAAUUACAAUUUUGUGACGUGGAUAUCCACGCAUUUGUAUGGAAAUUAUUUUGGGAAUGGAUUUGCUUUAUGGAAUUUCUUUUAAAUAAAUUAUUUUUACUCAACUCGAUUUCAUUUACAAUUGUUGUCAUACCCUUUCCUAGUAGGCUAUGUUUGGUUCCCAGAAAAUUUGAAGGAAAACGUAAGGGAAAGAAAAUACAAAGGAAAAGUAGAAAGAAAGAAAAAGUGAAGAAAAAUAAAAAAAAAUAGAUUAAAAGUUGAUAAAUUAUUUUUUUUGUUACUUCAAACUCAUUUUAUUUAUUUUAACUCAUUAAUAUAAAGAUUAAAUAAUUUAAAAAUAUAUAAGCUUUUAAUUAGUUUUAAUUAUAUUUGAUUUUCUUUGAUAUUUUUCAUAUGACAACUAAACAUGAAAAAAUCAUUUUUCUUUGCAUUUUUUUUCUUUUCUUAGUAUUUUCCGGGAACCAAACAUAACCUUAGUGUCUUGAAAUCAUCUGCUUUUAACUAUGACUAGACCAACGUGUGGACAUGAAACUUUGGUAAAAUAAAAUUAGGUAUAUAUUGGAGAAAUAAACAAAAGUAUUAUGUACAUCCACAACUCUCGAGUAUAAUGCAUUGAAAAAUGCAUAGUAUCUUGUAUGAAAAUAGCCACUAGCCAACGACCAACAUAUCAUACAAGAAGUAAAAUAAGAUUAGGUAUUUAUUGGAAGUAUAAAUAAAAAUAUAUUGAAAAUUAGUGGCAGCCAUUAAUUGAGAGUUGUGGCACUAGCCCAUAUAAAAAUUUAUCUUUGUAUUUUGAAAUUUUCGAGAAUAAUGUUUGGACCACAACAUGGACAAAUUCAAUUUUAUCCUUGUCUUAAAUCUAAGUAGAAAAUCAUGAAUUUCCCAACUAGGCAAGGAGGCUUUUUACCUUUUCAUUAUGACAUAAAUCUUACAACUCAUUAACAUUGUACUAAUGACAUAUUAAAUUAUCGAUCAUUAUUCGACAAAAGGGCAUCAAACCAAAUGUUCACAAUCUAAAACUGAGAGGAAAAAAUGAAAAUUGUUUUGAUUCAAAAUUUAAAGAUCAAGAGUAUGACUAAUAAUAGUUUUAGGAAACGUUUUUAAUUCUUUUAUAUUUUAAAAUUUUUAUUAUUUAAAUCUUAAUAAAAUUAAAAACAAUUUUUAAGAUUAGUACUUACAUCACUCUAAUUUUACUCAUCUUAUUUUAAAAUUUGAUUAAAAUUUUAUCAAAUAUCUUUUAUAUUUUAUAGAAAAUUGAAGAUUAAUAAAAAUGAUAGAUAAAUUAUGUGAUGAAAUUUUAAAUUAACAGGAAUUAAAUAAAUUUAGGUGGGUGGAAGAUUAAUGAAAUUUUAAAUUAAUUUACAUAUUCUACUUUAUUACUCACCCAAAAAGCUCUGACAACAAAAUUAUGAAAAGAUAUGGAGGUACCAAUCCCAUCUUGAAGCGAUCGGCCGUCUGUCUCAGCCAAGCAUCUCCUUAAUGGAAGUACUUGUGUACCAUGAUGGAAAGCAAGUUAAAAAGGAACCCAAACAUUUUUUAUAUUUUACGUCUAUCAAAAUAUUCUUCGUUUUAUGAGUUAUUAACAUACAUUUCCUUGCUAUCAUUCAUUAAAUCCUUGAUAAAAGUUUAGGCAACGAUUUAAUACAUCUAUCCUUUUAUGGGGCUACUUUGCAUUUUUUUUUUUUUUGUGUGUGUUUUUGGUAUUAAUUUCCAAAAUUACUUGAAAGCUUACAUUCAAAAUCACUAACUCUGUUUGAAAAUUGUUUUGAAUAACAAUUUCCUCUUCUUUUUUUUUAUUUUAAAAAAAGUAUAUAUAUGGAAAUACAUUUACUUAUCAAUUGUUCUCAAAACAAGUUUUUGAGAACUAUCUCUAAAAUAAGAUGUUAAUUAUUUUAAGUUGCUUUUACUUGAUUUAUUUGCUAAUUAUUUUUAAAAAUAAUGAUAAAAAUAUAAAAAAUGAUUGAAAAUAACUUUUAGAAAAUAUUUAAAAAUACAAAAAAAAUAUUUUUUAAAAUUAUUUUUGAGAAUUAAUAUAAAAAACUUUCUUAAAGAAGGGAAAUACAAGUUUUUAAUUCAUCUCUUUAUGAGUUGUCGUUCUUUUCAUCCUUUUUUGUUUUAUUUUUGGGCAUUUCCAUAUAUACUUGAAAUACUUACACGCUUAAAUAACCAUGAUUUAAAAAAUCGGACCAGAUCGAUCGGUCACUCUUUCAGUCCGAUUCUAUCAAUUGGUCCAAAAAUAGGUUAAAUUGGAAUCGGACCCAUUGAAUUGACGGUCCAACCAAUGAAUUGGACGAACCGGAUGGUUCAAUUAAUUAAUUUUUUUUUUAUAAAUUUUUACCAUAUCAAAAUGACGCUAUUUUGGAGGAUAUAAAAACACCUUAACCCCUCAUUCUUCAUCUGAAUCAAAGGUGAAUAAGCUGCCACCCCCCAACGAGUUGCAACACCCAUGCCAGCUCCCAUCGGCGGUCUCCUCGACUGUUACACUGCCUGCCCGGCCCAAAACCCGUUGCACCUCCCCUCCCCACCCUCCCUUGGUGGUCAAAGCGCCCCUCCGGAAAACCCGACUGUGUGCGCCUUUCGACUCUGCCUAGUAGCUAUAAGUUGAUAUUUUAAAAUUUAUUUUUUCUAUUUUAUAUUUAAUAAUUUUAAUGCGUUUUUUUAUUAUGAUAUUAUGUUUAAUAUUCAAUUUUUAUAAUUUUUUUGUUUAUUUAUUAGUCUUCAGGUAGUGUGCAUGGGAGAUUGGGAGCUCCAAUUGAUAAAGUAAAAAAUGCAUUUUAUAUGGAUUUACAUGGAUAGUAUAAAAUUUGAUUUAAUGUCUUUUAUAUGGAUUUACAUGGAUGAUAUGAAAUAUGAUUUAAUGCCUUUUAUAUGGAUUUGCAUGGAUAAUAUGAGAUAUGAUUUAAUGGUAAAAUUAAAAACAUUACAAUUUUAAAUAAAUUUCUGAUUUUAAAAUAAGUUUUUUAUUCAAAAAUAAAUAUUAAAAUUGUGAUUUUAAUUUAAAUUUCUAAUUUGAAACUAAUUUUCUGAUUUUUAAAUAAUAUAUAAAUUAUUAUUUUUAUAAUUAUUUUAAAUUUUAAUAAUUUAUAAAUGGUAUAUUUAUGAUGUCACCGGAUCGACCGCAUUCCAUCCAACCAGUGAACUGUGAAUCGAUAACUUUUCCAGUUCAAUGACCGGUCCAGUUCUGAAAACAUUAUAUAUAACUUAAUGUUGGCUCAUUAAAUGAACAAGGUUUCAAAACUUUGAUGGUAUUAGAAUGAGUAUGCAUGGUAUUUUAAUCAUCUCCUCAUCACAUGCAUAUCUAUUAGAAUUUGACAAAACAUCUUUACACCUUAAAAAACCCAACAAUAUAAAAAUAUCAAUAGUUGUCAAUUUGCACUUUGUUACCUACUAUGUUAUAUGUUAGGUACUUGUGAUUACUAAUUAUAGUAAUCAAAAUUAUAGAGUGGAUUGGUAUGUACAUCAAAUCAUUUAAAUAUAAGUAAAUUGUUGAUCAAAUUAAUCAAGAAUAUUAAUGAAUAGCAACUAGAAAAUAAACAAAAAAGAAUUACUCAACGAAAAAACAAGUUAUCAACAUCACAUCUCCCUUAAAGUAAUUAUGUUGAAAUCGGGAAUUCUUAUUUGAAUUUUUAAUAUGAUUAAUAAGAUACCCACACAUGUAGUGUAAUUAAAGGAGAUCGGAAAAAACUAGUCAAAACUACUUAAUUGAUUGAAAUAUUUAGCAUUAACAUGAUAAUCAUUUUAUGUACUUAAAAGUAAGUUACCAAUAUUAUACUUUCCUUUGAUGAAAAGUAGUUAAGAAAUUCCAUUUCACUAUUUGAUACUAUUAAUAAAAUACAUAAAUGCAUAGUUUUCACUCUAAUAUGUAUAUUAAAUUAGUUGAAGCCAUAAAAUUAAUCAAAAUGUUUAGCAUACGUGCCCCCUCCAAGGAGAUUAAUCGAAAAAUAUUGUUCGAGUAUCUAACACUAUUGACAAGAUAUACAAAUAUUUGUAACCAUAGGUGGAAAAAAGUAGGCUAAAUGACAAAUUUGGUCAUAAGUAUUAAAGAUUACUACUUAAAUAAGGGAUAAACAUAUAUUAAAAAGGAAGUUGUUGAUGUUAUGCGUCAUAAGAAACAAACAAAAACAAAGAACCUAAUUAAAAUGUUUUGUAUUAUUAUCAACAUGAAUACAUAUAUAUUUUUAGUCAAACAUAUGAAAACACACGGAAUAAAGUAUAAAAUUCGAUAAAAUUAAAUCAAAGUUAAGUUAUCUUGUUUGUGCGGUUUUAGACUAUCAUAAUUAUAUUUUUUGUAUUGGUUAUAUACUCAUAUUUAUUAGAGUUUUGAUAUUUUUAUAUAACUCUUUUCCUCUAUAAAAUUUUUCAUAAAACGAAUAAUAAUCCUAAAAUAAUAAAAAAACGGAAAAAAGAAGGCAAAAGAAAAGAAAAGAUGACGCCACCUAAACGUCAAGAGUAGAUAUAGCUUGUGGUGGCGGUGGUGCUGUAGUAGGUAAAUGGUGUCGUCUUCCUCAAUGACCCACGCACUUGCCCGGUAAGCCUCCCUCUCUCCUUUGUGUUAGGUGACAUCCGACGUGGCACUCUUUUGGUGGCUCUCCGGUCAAACGUGGCUUUCACCACCAGGAUCCCUGAGCACCCACCUUCAAACCCAUCUCACCAACCCCACAACACCCAAUCAGAAGCCGCCGCAUAAGCCAAAAAGCCCUUAGCCCCCAUAAACACCUGAAUUUUUUAAUAACGUGGCGUGUUCUGAUUUGGCGACGGCGUGGGGCGAAUGUGAAAUUCCGUCUAUCUCCCUCCCACCAACCCUGAACCAGAAGGCACUUGUAUAUUACCCCCAACCAAAAAUCAAACCCACCAGGGAAGCUCAACCAAAAUCUCACCUUCCCUUUUGUCUCCAUUUCUCUCCCUUUCUCUUUUGUCUCUGUAAUUCAAGCUCAUCAAUGGAGGUCAAGAAAGAGGAGCAGCCGCAGCAGCAGCAGACGGAGAUCAUUUUCCGGUCGAAACUGCCGGAUAUUUACAUCCCAGAUCAUCUUCCGCUGCACUCGUAUUGCUUUGAGAAUAUAUCGAAGUUCAGCUCAAGGCCUUGUGUGAUCGACGGCGCUAACGGAGAUAUUUAUACAUACGCGGAUGUGGAGCUCACAGCCCGGAGAGUCGGCGCCGGCCUCCACAAGAUGGGGAUCAAGCAAGGCGAAGUGAUAAUGCUUCUGCUGCAGAAUUGUACCGAGUUCGUGUUCGCAUUUCUGGGGGCUUCAUAUAUCGGUGCAACAAGCACGACGGCGAAUCCGUUUUACAUGCCGGCCGAGAUCGAGAAGCAGGCGAAAGCAUCAAAGUGUAGGCUGAUAAUCACCCAGGCUUGCUACUCCGAGAAAGCGAUGAGUUUCGCAGAGGAAAACGACGUGAAGGUCAUGUGCAUCGACACCCCACCGGAGGGUUGCCUGCACUUCUCGGAGCUGACGAACGCCGACGAGGCCGACCUCCCCACCGUGAAAAUCAACCCGGACGAUGUCGUCGCGCUUCCGUACUCAUCCGGCACCACCGGGCUCCCGAAAGGAGUGAUGCUGACCCACAGGGGGCAGGUCACCAGCGUGGCCCAGCAAGUCGACGGCGACAACCCCAACCUGUAUUUCCACAGUGAGGACGUCAUCCUCUGCGUGUUGCCAUUGUUCCACGUCUACUCUCUGAACUCAGUUCUGCUCUGCGGAUUGAGAGUUGGUGCAGCAAUUCUGAUUAUGCAGAAGUUUGAGAUAAUCAAAUUGCUGGAGCUUAUUAAUAAGUAUAAGGUCACAAUUGCACCGUUCGUCCCGCCGAUCGUGUUGGCGAUUGCGAAGAGUCCGGUGGUGGAUGAGUACGACCUUUCCUCCAUCAGAACUGUCAUGUCCGGUGCUGCUCCCAUGGGUAAAGAGCUUGAAGACACUGUCAGAGCCAAGCUCCCUAACGCCAAGCUUGGACAGGUAAUUUUCAUAUUUAUUUAUUUUUUCAUCCACCACGUUUUUACCUCCCAAAAAUUUCUCACUGUUUUUAAAUACUAUAUUGUAAUUUACCAUCGAAAACACCCUUGUUUUGAAAAUCAUUUAAAUCCUAUAAUUAAAGGAAAUAAAUAACUUUUUAAAUCGACAUAAUAUUUUACUAUUUUACGCUUUUUACCCAAUUGUCCAUGCAUUUGUCCAAGAAAUUCAUAAAAUCCUUAGGAGGGCUGAGGGUAAAAUUGGAAUGUUUGCAUGUAUGGCAGGGCUACGGGAUGACAGAGGCGGGACCCGUGUUGGCAAUGUGCUUGGCCUUUGCCAAAGAGCCAUUCGAGAUCAAGUCUGGGUCUUGUGGCACAGUGGUCAGAAAUGCUCAAAUGAAGAUCCUCGAUCCCGAUACCGGUGCCUCUCUUCCCCGGAAUCAGCCCGGAGAAAUUUGCAUCCGAGGCCAUCAGAUCAUGAAAGGUAUGCAGAUCUUAUCUACAGUAAUUCUAUUACCUUCCGAUUUUAUCUGAUCCAAUUACUAUAACGGAAUUGAAUACUUUGAAUUAUAAUUAAUUUUUUUAAAAAAUAAUAUUUUGGAAAAAAUUUAGCUUUGAAUAAGUCUUUGAGAAGUGUCAACAUUAUGGGGCGUGAAUGAAAUUGGGGCCUUUUCUAUGGUUUCAGUGAUCACUAUUUUAAAAGGAAUGAAAUUUCUUUUGGAAAAUGAAUUAUUGUUAGUAUAAUAGUGUUAUUCAAAUUUUACUUGUUAAAUUAACAAAAUAUUUUCUUAUAAGUAAAUCUUAUUUUAGGUAAAGGGGUAGGUGGGUGGGAAAUUAACCAUAGAGGAUCACCCCACAUGGGUUGUGGUUGGUGGGAAGAUGUAACAACGUUUUAAUAGGAAAAAAAUGGAAAAAUUGCCAGCAAAUCAUUUUGAUUUUUUCCCUUAUUUCUCUAUCUAUGAUUCAAGGGUGGAAUCCUUUGUACAAUGAUUGUACUAAGAAUACAUCGAUAGGAAGAAAAGCUUGCACUCAACCUUCAUCUUGCGCACCAGCCUACCUAUCUCUCUCUCUCUCGGUUUUAUUAAUUAAUUAAUUAAUUUAUUUAUGAUGCGUCCGACCAUUCAACUCAUUAGAACCAAAAUAUUAUUAUUAUUAUUAUUUUGUCAUAUUGUCCAUCUAAAGCUUAUAAUAUAUGAAUUUUAAUCAUUUUGAAUGUUGGCUUAUUUAGGGAAUAAAAAAUUUAUUGUUUAUUUAUUUAUUUAUUUGUUAAAACAUCUUUUAAUUUUCCUUUUUCUCAUAUUAUUAAGUUCGGUUGAAAAUUUUAAUAAAUUAAGCUUUUUUUAAUUAAUUUUUUUAUUGUUUAUUGUUUAUUGUUUAGGUUAUCUGAAUGAUCCAGAGGCCACAGAAAGAACCAUAGAUAAAGAAGGAUGGCUGCACACAGGUGACAUCGGAUAUAUUGAUGAUGAUGAUGAGCUUUUCAUUGUUGAUAGGCUAAAAGAGUUGAUCAAAUAUAAGGGAUUUCAAGUCGCACCUGCUGAGCUUGAAGCAAUGUUAAUUGCACAUCCCAAUGUUUCUGAUGCCGCUGUUGUUUCGUAAGUUUCUAUCCUUAUUUAAUUUUAUUAUCAUAAUAUAACUAAUAUAUAUAUCUAUAUAUAUAUAUGUCUUUUUUUUUUUUUAAGUAUUUUCCAAGAACCAAACCUAAUCUAGGUGUUGAAAUUCAUUAUUUUAUAAAUUUUAGGAUGAAAGAUGAGGCCGCUGGGGAGGUUCCUGUUGCAUUCAUUGUGAGAUCGAAUGGUUCGAAGAUCACUGAGGAUGAGAUCAAGCAAUAUAUCUCAAAGCAGGUAAAAAUAAAUGUGUGAUAAAAAUUAUGAUUUGCUUGUAAUUAGAAUAUGAGUUAUUUCUAGACUUAGAAAAUAAAUGACACAUGAAACAUGUUAAAUUCGUACAUUUUUCUUAUUUUCGAAAGCAUAAGCAUCUAAAUAGAAAAUUAUUUAUUUAUCAUAGGACAUGUUCAUCAAAUUGAUUUGGAAGUUCUCCCAUGUUUAUUUCUUAGCAAAAAGACAUGCAUGUAUAUUUUAUGUAAAUUUUAAUGCUUAUUUGAUUUUGAUCGAUGUUACUUAUGUAUUAAACAGGUCGUGUUCUAUAAAAGGAUUUAUCGAGUUUUCUUCGUAGAGACAAUUCCUAAAGCUCCAUCGGGUAAAAUCCUGCGAAAAGACUUGAGAGCAAGGCUGGCCGUUGGUGUUCCGAAUUAAUCCUUGUGUGAGAGUUUAUAAAUUACCUAAAAUGAGCGUGAGAACCAUGGGCAUACAUGGAGUAAUUUUCUGUUCUUUUCUUUUCUAGUUGGAAAGGAAAGGAAAAAACAUUCAGCUAUGUUUAAAUGAUGUUACUACCUCAUGCCUUUGUAUUGGAUUUAUUGAUAUGUUUCACUUGGGUGGAGAAGGGAAAGAAAUUCUAAGCUUCGUAUGGAAUUGUUUUACUAUGAAUUUGUUUAAUUAUCAAUGUAUAUGGUAAUAUGGACAACCACUCAUCAAAAAUGAUGUAUAACAUGUUUCAUGUUUGAUGGAAUCCAUAUCAAACUUUUAUUUUGGAUUGCUUUUUAAUUGAUUAUUUUGGUUUGAUAGAUGCUAUUAAUUAGCUCUUUGGUAAUUCAAAAUCUAUGGUCGUCUUUGACCCUUUUAAAAUUCGUAUUGUCAAGUGAAUAAUAUCUUAGUGAUUAAGGAUAACACUGGGAAGAAAAUUUUCAGGUACCGACUCCAUUCCCUCCUAAUAAAACGAGUUUGAGAGAAGUUUAAUUAGGUUAGCAAAGUGAGUUUGAAAAUUUUUAUAAAAUUCAUAUUGGAUUCAAAUAUCACCUUAUCCUUGCCUUGCAUCAUAUGUAUCUUACAUAUGAAUAAAUAUAAAAUAAUUUAAUUUAAUUAUUUUUAUUUUUUUCUUUUUUAGCAUAUAUAAAAUAAAAGUCUAUUUGGUAUCAAGAUAAAUUUAUCUAUAAAUUAUAUUUAUUUUUUAUACAAUUAAAAUAUUUAAAAAAAUAUGAAAAAAAAUAAAAAAUUAAAUUGUUCUCGAAUCCGUAGUCUUGUCUCAUUUAUAUGAGGAUAAAAAUUGAUUUAAAUUAUUAAAGUGAAGUGAGAGUAAGGAUGAGCUGUAUUGAACCUUUUCCGUUGUCAUCCCUCACUAGCCUUAAAAAUAAAAAUAAUUUGCCCUAAUAUGAAAACCUGUUUAUUCCAAAAUUAUGGUGUCUUGACCCUGAGAGUUGAUGGCUUCUCUUCAAAGUACAAUUGAAUGAUGAUGGAUCGUUGAAAAGUUUCAACUUGCUAUUACUUUUAAGUCCUAUGGCUGAUUGUUCAUUUUGUAUUAAAAAUAUAUAACCCUAUUCAACCUUUGAAAUUUGGAAAAUGGAUCCUUAUAAAACUCACAUCAUGGUAUGAUUACUUUAUUGCACGUUGAGGAUGAAUAAACAUCAAAAGUCAAUCCAUAUUCUAGUGGAUAAGUGACUUGUAACACCAUCCUAAUAUCUAUCCAAAACUUAGCACCUUCAUUUUUAAUUUGAAGAGUUUUCACCACAAAUAACCCAUUUUUUUUUAUUUAAAAAAAAACAAAUCAUAAACUAAACCUCUCUAUUUUAAUACAUAAACAUCCACGUCAUAAAAUCGUAUUUGAUGACUACGGUUUUAAAGUUUUUUUUUUAAAGUAGUCAAAACUAUGGUAAUUAAUUAUGAUUUUAAUUUUAAAUUUAAAACCAUAAUUGAUAAAUAUGAUUUUGAUCAUUUAAAAAAAAAUGAAAAUUACAAUCACAAACUAAAGUUUAAAGUUUAAAGUUAAAGUUAUAGUUGAUAAUUACGAUUUUGAACUUAAAUAUAAAGCUAUAGUUAUGAACUACAAUUUUGACUUAAUCUUUAUAUAUAUAUAUAUAUUAGGGUUGUUCUAUGGUACCCACUCUUCAUUUUGGGGGUACCUACCCACAUUUGACCCCAAUAAAAAUAUGAUAUGUGUAAAGUACAUAUCAUUAAAAAAUUUAUAAAAACUUAUCAAACCGGUAAAGAUGACUUGUUGGUGAGAAAUAAUCACAUGCAUUUCAUAUAUAUCUAAAUAUUACAAUUAUUUAUAAUUUAUUAUUAAAUAUUAAAUAUAAUUUGUUAUUUAAUGCAUUACCUAACCCUAUCUAAAAAAAGAAAAUCUUACCUACUACUCUUAUACUCUCAUUAUUCAUAUAUAAAAAAAAAGGAUAGUAAUUUAAUAUGAAAAUUAAAUAAUUUCAACUACCAAAUUACAAAAUAUGUAAGAUGUAUUUUGAUGAAUCAAAUUUCAAGAUCAAGUUCAAAACUUUUUGAGAGAGAAAAUUUAAAAUUUGUAUUAUAUGAAGAAGAUGAAGGAUUUCAAGUGAUUACAAGUGUCAAAGGUAAUAUUUGAUAUUUUUUUAUCCAAAUAUAAUUGUUGUAGGAAGAAAUGUGAUGUUAAAUAAUGAUUUUAGAAUUUUUUAUGAGUUUAUUAUAAAAUUUUGCUAUCAAAUUGUUAUUAAUAUUUUUUUAUAAUUUUUUUUGUUCAUAAAUUAAAUUUGAAGAUGAAGCUUUAUAUGUCUUGAAGGAUGUCAAGUGAUUACAAGUGUUAAAAGGUAACAUUUGAUUUUUUUUCUCCAUUUACAUAUACCUAUUGUAGGUAGAAAUGUCAUGUUAAAUGACAUUUAAAUAUGUAAUGAUUUAUAAUAUCUAGAUUUUUUAAUUUUUUUCUGAGUUAUUUUUAAUCAAAUUGAGAGCAUUUAGUAAUUUGUUAUGAAAUUGUCAUCAAUAUUUUGUAAGAGAGGAUAUGAACUUUCUAAGGGAGGGUACAAACUUUCUAAGGGUGGGAAUGAACUUUCUAAGGGAGGGUACGAACUUUCUAAGGGUGAGUACGAACUUUCUAAGGGUGGAUACGGACUUUCUAAGGAGGGUACGAACUUUCUAAGGGAGGGUACAAACUUUCUAAGGGUGGGUACGAACUUUCUAAGGGAGGGUACGAACUUUCUAAGGGUGGGUACGAACUUUCUAAGGGAGGGUACGAACUUUCUAAGAGUGGGUACGAACUUUCUAAUGGAGGUUACAAACUUUCUAAGGGUGGGUACGAACUUUCUAAGGGUGGGUACAAACUUUAUAAGAGAUGGUACGAAACUUUCUACAAACUUUCUAAGGGAGGGUACGAACUUUCUAAUGGUGGGUACGAACUUUUCUAAGAGUGGGUACGAACUUUUGUAAGGGAGGGUACUAACUUUUCUAAAGGAGGCUACAAACUUUCUAANGGAGGGUACGAUCUUUCUCACGGAGGGUACGAACUUUCUAAAGGAAGGGUACCAACUUUCCAAGGGUGGGUACCAACUUUCCAAAGGGUGGGUNNNNNNNNNNNNNNNNNNNNNNNNNNNNNNNNNNNNNNNNNNNNNNNNNNNNNNNNNNNNNNNNNNNNNNNNNNNNNNNNNNNNNNNNNNNNNNNNNNNNAAAUUGAGAGCAUUUAGUAAUUUGUUAUGAAAUUGUCAUCAAUAUUUUGUAAGAGAGGAUAUGAACUUUCUAAGGGAGGGUAUGAACUUUCUAAGGGAGGGUACGAACUUUCUAAGGGAUGGUACGAACUUUCUAAGGGUGGGUACGAACUUUCUAAGGGAGGGUACGAACUUUCUAAGGGAGGGUACGAACUUUCUAAGGGUGGGUACGAACUUUCUAAGGGAGGGUACGAACUUUCUAAGGGAGGGUACAAACUUUCUAAGGGAGGGUACGAACUUUCUAAGGGUGGGUACGAACUUUCUAAGGGAGGGUACGAACUUUCUAAGGGAGGGUACGAACUUUCUAAGGGUGGGUACGAACUUUCUAAGGGAGGGUACGAACUUUCUAAGGGAGGGUACGAACUUUCUAAGGGUGGGUACGAACUUUCUAAGGGAGGGUACGAACUUUCUAACGGAGGGUACGAACUUUCUAAGGGAGGGUACGAACUUUAUAAGGGUGGGUACAAACUUUCUAAGGGAGGGUACGAACUUUCUAAGGGUGGGUACGAACUUUCUAAGGGAGGGUACGAACUUUCUAACGGAGGGUACGAACUUUCUAAGGGAGGGUACGAACUUUCUAAGGGUGGGUACGAACUUUCUAGGAGGGUACGAACUUUCUAAGGGAGGGUACGAACUUUCUAAUGGUGGGUACGAACUUUCUAAAGGAGGGUACGAACUUUCUAAGGUGGGUACNACUUUCUAAGGAGGGUACGAACUUUCUAAGGAGGUANNNNNNNNNNNNNNNNNNNNNNNNNNNNNNNNNNNNNNNNNNNNNNNNNNNNNNNNNNNNNNNNNNNNNNNNNNNNNNNNNNNNNNNNNNNNNNNNNNNNGGGAGGGUACUUUCUUUCUAAGGGUGGGUACGAACUUUGUAAGGGUGGGUACUUACUUUGUAAGGGAGGGUACGAACUUUCUAAGGGAGGGUACGAACUUUCUAAGGGAGGGUACGAACUUUCUAAGGGUGGCUACGAACUUUCUAAGGGAGGGUAUGAACUUUCUAAGGGUGGGUACGGACUUUCUAAGGGUGGGUACGAACUUUCUAAGGGUGGGUACGAACUUUCUAAGGGUGGGUACGAACUUUCUAAGGGAGAGUACGAACUUUGUAAGGGAGGGUACAAACUUUCUAAGGGUGGGUACGAACUUUUUAAUGGAGGGUACGAACUUUCUAAGGGAGGGUACGAACUUUGUAAGAGUGGGUACGAACUAGAUAAUGUAAUUUUUUAACUACUCUAUCUUUUAUAUUUCAGUUUCUUCAUAGAUACGAUGGACAAAGGCAAAGAAAAGGAAUUUAUCAUUGAUUUGAACGAUGAAGAUUUUGAUUACCAAUAUGAUAGCAUUGUUAAAACUGAGUCUGAUGAAGAGGCCAUUCUAGUUUCAGACAAGAUUUUUAAUGAUUUAACUGUUGAAGAUAUAUGGAAGAUGGAGUUUAGCUCAGUAGAGGAGGCAAAAGAAUUUUAUAAUUUAUUUGCUAAAGUUACCGAAUUCAGUGUUAGAAAGGAUGAUGUGAAACGAGAUAAAAAUCAAAAUAUAGUAUCUCAUAAGUGGGUUUGUUCGAAAGAAGGAUAUCGACAUAGAGUGUGUUUAGAGAAUGAAAAUCGAAAACGAGAACCUAAGGCAGUAACUCGAGUUGGUUGUGAGGCAACAUUUCGGAUUGGGUUUAACAAACAAAUGAACAAGUGGGUUGUGAAAGAGUUUAUGGCUGAUCAUAAUCAUUCUUUGGUGGAACAAAAAAAUGUCCAAUUCCUUCAAUCCCAUAGGGUCAUUAAAAAUGCAGAUAAAACUCAAUUGAAUGCAAUGCGAGGUGUUGGCAUAGGAACUAGCCAAAUUAUGGAUUACAUGGUGCAACAAUCAGGUGGAUAUAACAAUGUUGGCUUCACAAAAAAAGAUCUAUAUAACCAUGUUGAUGCUGAUCGUAGAGUUCAUCUAAGAGAUGGUGAUGCAGAGGGUGCUUUGGCUUAUUUGUGUGGAAAGUUUGAAAUGGAUCCAUCAUUUUAUUACAAGUACAAUGUUGAUGAAGACAACCAUCUAGCAAACCUGUUUUGGGCAGAUUCUACUAGUAAAUUGGAUUACAGUUGUUUUGGAGAUGUAUUAGCAUUUGAUACAACUUAUCGGACUAAUGCUUAUAAAAAACCGUUGGUCAUAUUAGUUGGCAUUAACCAUCACCAUCAAACUAUAGUGUUUGGAUCUGCAUUAUUGGUAGAUGAGAGUGUUAGCACUUAUACUUGGGUCUUGGAGACUUUUUUGGACGCAAUGAAUAACAAGAAGCCUUUUUCUGUUAUUACUGAUGGGGAUAAAGCAAUGCGUAAAGCCAUCAAGAGGAUAUUUCCAGACUCUUGUCAUCGAUUAUGUGCUUGGCAUAUUCAACGCAAUGCAUUCACUAAUGUCCAUGUCAAAGAUUUUACUAAUCAUUUUUCUAAGUGCAUGUUCAUGGAAGGCACUGUUGAAGAAUUUGAAUGUGCAUGGAAUGACAUGUUGGAAAUGUUUAAUCUUCAUGGACAUAAGUGGGUGACAGAUAUAUAUGCUAAGCAUUCUAGAUGGGCAGAGGCUUAUUUAAGGGGGCAUUUCUUUGCUAGUAUGAAAAGCACACAAAGGUGUGAGAGCAUGAAUGCAUACUUGAAUCGUUUCCUUAAAACUCGUUUGAAGUUGUUUGAGUUUGUUAAGCAUUUUGAUAGAGCACUCUCACGUAUUCGUCAUAAUGAGGCAAAGGCAGAGUUUGAGACACACCAUUCUUCAGCUGUUCUAACAACCAAACUCUAUGCACUUGAGAAAUAUGCAGGGACUGUUUUCACAAGGCAAUCUUUUCUAAAAUUUAGGGAUGAGAUGAAGAAUGCAGAAUUGUUUUUCUCUGUCAGUACAGAAAAUCAUGGAGGUUAUCGUGUCCAUACAUUGACCAAGUUUAGAAGCCCUGACAAGAUUUGGAAAGUAUGUUAUGGUAAUAGUGAUCGGUCUAUGAAAUGUACUUGUAUGAUGUUUGAGUCAGUUGGUUUUCCAUGUCCCCACAUGAUUGUUGUAAUGAAGAUAGAACACCUUGAAGAAAUACCUGAGACUUGUAUUAUGAAAAGGUGGUCUAAGUUAGCAAAGGAAACGGUCCAAGUUCAUCAUGACAAUGAAAGUCAAGGUGAUGCGACUAACAUCAUACGAUAUGGUGCACUCAGCUCUAUGUGCUCACGGAUGUCUUAUUUCGCAUCUCAAUUGGAAAAAGCUUUUAAAGAGGCUAGAUGUGAAAUACAAAGACUCACUUGUCAAAUGGAAGAACUUUGUAAAAAUUUAGUGGAAGAAAGUGAACGAGAAGAUUUGAAAGCUACAAAACACCAUGUUCGAGAUCCUAUCAUUGUGAAGACGAAAGGUAAUCCGGGUAACUUAAAAGACAAAUUUAAAAAACCAAGGCAUUGUGGGAAAUGUAAGAAAGUAGGACACACUGUUCGAAAAUGCCCAGAGUUCGUCAACACUCACAAUGCAUUUAUCAACAUUGAAGAUUCAAUUGAAGAUAUGGUAUGUUCAAACACACAUUCACUAAAUUCAUUAAUUAUUCACUUUAUAGUUAUUUUUAUUUGGUUAAAUUGGUUGAAAUAAAAAAUUGAAUUCUUUAUAUUAAUACAGGGAGACAUGCCUUCAUUAUUAAAUCACAACAUGGAAGGUGGAUCAAGACACGGGACAAAUGAAUUUUCUCAAAAUGUAAGUUUAACAUUUUUUAAGUAAUUUUUAUUAUGAUGUGAAAAAUAUUACUUAUUAGAGUAAUUGAAAAAUUAAAUCAUAUUACAGACAACACUUGGCACAUUUCAGAAUGGUCAAGAAAUGAGCUUAAAUGAUUCAUGGCUCGGGUUACAUCCACCAAAUUACUUCACAAACCAGGUAAGAGUCAUAGAAUAAAUUAUUUACACCACAUAUCAUAUAUCUAUAUAUUGACAGAAGUUCCUUAACAUUUAGUAUUUAAUCAUAUGAAUUUUCUUUCAAAAUAUUAUGUAUAAUUGUAAAUAUUUUCAAUGUAGGUCACCAUGAACCACUUUACAUCCGGAAUUUCGGGAGCAAGUUCUACAUAUCAUAACCAAUGAGUUGUACUACAAUGCAAAAAAUUAUGUACAAAAAAAAAAAAAAAAAUCAACUCUUGAUUGUAUUCUAUACUCUUCUUCUCUUUAUUUUUGCAUGAUUCUGAACUUUAUCUAAUAUUAUAGCUUUCUCACUAUUUUCAUCAUCAAGAAGUAAUUCGAUUGCCAAUUUGUGUCUUAUAGCUGUAGAGUCCCAAUGGGAAGGGGUUGAACUUGAGUCCAUGAAAUCGGAUCUUCGCAUAUGAUUAAUGACAUGGACUCCACAAUCCCACCUAACAAAUGAAGUGAGCAAACAUUUAUCUAGUUAGUACAUACAAAUAUUAUCUUGAACACAUUAUAUUUGAAGAAACAAUUAUGCUUGCUUACCCAUUGGCUUGCACAUCUACCCAUGUAGGUCUUUCAAUGGGAACACUUGAUAAAUUCUUUAGAUGCCCAUUGAGAUUAAAAAAAUGUGCACACUCUUCAACCUAAUAUUCAUAUCGUUAUAUCUUUUAGCAAAAUAAAACAUGCUAUUUAACAACUAACAUUAAAAAGUAAUAAAAUUCAUUAAAAUAUAAGACAUACCACAGUUCUCACAGAUGAAGUUCGCAUGUCAUCCCUUUCUAUUGAUGGUAAUGAAUCCAAUAUAUGAAUAUUAUGUUGAUGAAGAUUUAUAACACACAAAUAUCAAUGAUCCGGACAUGUAUCGUGCAUCGGGAUGUAUAUCUAAACAAAACACACAUUUUAGCAUUGAUAAUUUUUUACAACUAUGCUAUGAAUCCAACUUCAAAUAUGUACCUUAUUGCAAUCAUUCAUUUCAUCCAUGUGUUUGAUAAUAUGUGUGAACAUCUUGGUAGCAGUUGCCAAUUUUCAACCACCAUGUAAGAUUAUUUGCUAUGAAAAAAAAAAAAAAACAUAUAUAUAUAUAUAUCACAAUAUUUAUUAGGUUUAUUUUUUUUCUUUAAUAAGAAAUAUAAUGGAUGAACAUACCGCAAAUGUGGUGGGUAAGUAGCAUCUGGUAGGUCGUAUUCCUUUGAAUUUGUUUUCAAAACUAUUAAGUUUGCAUGCAAAUACAUUUAUGAUCUAAAAAUGAAACACAAAAAAGUUAACAAUGUUAAUUAUGUAAUAGAAUUAAUAAGAAUUGGGUUUAUCCUUGUAUUACUCACCACAUCGAGUAAUUCUUGUCUAGGCCCUAAAGUCAAGAAGUCUGCUCGACUUGCAUGCUCAUAUUGAAAAUUAACAAGAAGUUCACUGCAAAAUAUAAGAUAUUUAAUAAGUAUAACUUUUAAAACAUGACAUACAUAAAGUAUAGUCAAAAUAAUUGGUUUACACACCUUUUGUCCAAUGAAACAUCAAACACAUAAGCAACAACUAGAGACUCAAGUGUACUCAAGGAAUGUGAAUCCUCCACGUUCGGCAAAAUGGACAUGGGGAUUAUCUAUAUUGAAAACAUCUCUAACAAACAUUAGUUAUCGUUCACUAUAUUAUUAAGUAUUUUAAAAAUACUACACCAAUGAAGUAACAUAUUACCUCUAAUACCUUUUGUGAUCCAACAACUAUGCUUGGGAAUCUCUUAGGCUUUGGCAUCUUAUUGGAUUGAUGAAUGUAGGGUGACACCUUGAAUUUACUAGGCUUGCGUUCCAUUGUUGAUCGUGUUUUCUUCAAUUGACGUGGGAGCACCACCAAUGAACUUAGUUGUUCUUCUUGUUUUUCAACAUAUGGAACAUCAACAUUAACCUAUCACGUAUUUGAACAUUAGUAUAUAUAUAUAUAUAGAACUUUGUAAAAAACUAGGUCUUCAUAAUAUGCAAAUACCUUUUCAUCGUGACAUUGAUUGUUGACAAUGGGAGAAACAUGUAACUCCAUGUCACCACAUGAGUCAUUCUCACUCAAUCUCUCUUCUACGACAACAUUGCUCAUAGGAAAAAACAAACGUUUCAAUUCCAUAUAUUUUUCUUCAAAUUCUCUAAAAGUUGAUUCUUUGCAACUUUUAUCCAUAUUAGAAACAUUUGUUUGUAGCACAAAUUUUUUCAACUUCUCAAAAGCUUCCUCCAUACCCAUCAAACUUUUUUCUUCAACCUAGUAACAAAUAAAAAUUUCCAAUAUCAUGAAAAAAAAAGUUUGAUAUGAAUAAACUAAUGUAUAUAAAUAUAGUAUGAAAAAGUACCUUAUGCCCUUCUUCUUGUUGUUCAUGAACUUUGCAUCUUGUUUAUCACCAUCUUCUACAUUUCUCAUAUCAUUAUCUUUAUGAUCACUUGUUAUCUCAUCUUUCUCAACCACCUUCAUUUUUUCAUCAUUUUCAUUUUCCGCACUAUUAUUUUGCUCUAUAUCCACACUUUGCCCAAUUUUUAUAAUCCAUAUCGUGACCUAUAAUUUAUCAAUAAACUUUAUUAUAAUUGCAACAUCACAUAAACAAAUAAGUUUUUCAGUUAGUAAAUGUAUCUUACCUUUGGAUCAUCAUAACCUCCAAGUGUUUUGAUUUUACGUUUCAUCCUAGAAACCUCAUCAUCUCCCCAUUCAUUUAUACGAGGGCUAUAUGCAUUAAAACGUAAGUUCAUACCCUUCUUUGUGGAAAUGUGGUCUAGGUAGAAAAUCUGCAAGAAAUAAAUUCCAAAAUAAGUAUAGAGUUGAAUAUAUCACAAAUCUAUUAUUGUUAAAAAUAUCAUAAUAUAUCAACUUUGUUAAAAGUGUAUUACCAUUAGAAAAAAUAAACAUCCAGAAAUCCCACUACUUCGUUUCUUGGAUUUAAAGUCGUUUAUGCCUCGUACAAGGAAGAAGAAUACUAUUUGAGCCCAAUUUAUCUUCUUUAUUGAUGCGGUGUCUUGAAGGAGAUGGAGGAAGGAAGGCUUGACACUAACUUUCAUCGUUGGACUUAACAAGGCACCCAAAACAAAUAAUACAAAACGAAUUUUAAAUUCAUCCCCACAUUUCUUUUCUUGCCGUAUUUGGUUUUCUAACAUCAACAAUGACAAUUUUCCCUUCCCAUCACAAUACAUGUUGUAUAAAUCAUUUCGUUUACUUGUGCAUCUCUCUAUAUCUACCUCCACUCCCUUAGCCUUCAAGCCCAAAAUUAACUCAACAUCCAUUGGGGAUAAUUUAAUGGAAGUGUUAUGCACACUUAAUGUGCAUGAAAGAGUGUCAAAAUUCUCUACCAACCAAUGACAUAAACUAUGAUCAAGUUUAGUACAUCACAAUCCUAAAAUACCUCCAAACCCUAUUUCUUGUAUGACGGCCUUUUGAUUAGGUUGCAAGUGUUGAAGUAGUUUAUACACCCGAUCAGGCAAACAACGCGUGUGAAGAUAUGACUGGAAGUCAUAAAUAUACAUAAGCAUAUAUAUUUUAAAUUGAAAGGAAAUAUUAUCAUAAUUUAAAAACAUAAAUUUCGAAUUUCUUACCUUUGAUGCAUUUUUUGAGUUUCGACCCUUUUGUUUUAUAUAUUCAUGAGGACAUUUUUUAGACUUCUCUAUGAACUCUUUUUUUUCUCCAUUUGAAAGGGAUUGCCACUUUUUCCCAAUCUCUUUUCGCAACUGUAAAAUUAAAUUAGUUAGUUAUCAUAUAGAGUAUAAAAGUUGACUAAAAAACAUAUUAUGCAAAUAUUCAUUUCUUUUCUUACAUCAUUAUUUAUUAUCAAUUCCUUGUUAUCUUUUUUUCUUGUGAGUACUUGUUCUUGACUGCAAAAAAAUCACAUAAAAAUGAUUAUAUUUUCAACAUAUGAAUAAAUAUCCAAAAUGAAUUAACUAUAUAUGUAUAUAUAUUCUUACAAAUAAUAAAGCCAUGAACCCAUAGGAAGUUUUGGGUUUGAAGGGGGAUCAUUCUCCUCAAAUGAUUGUUUGCUCCUGUUUAAAACACAACAUUAUGAAUGUAAUUUACAACUAAUUAAAACUAUGUACUAUAUUCAAAUAAUUAAGUGACAAAUAUAAAAUCUUACAUAUUUGGCUUUCUAAGUCAAGAUGCAGUAAGACUGCUCAAAAUAAGAUAAACUCCUCUUAUAUUAAGCAACUGUGUAGCCUGCAACAUAGUGAGCAUACCGAUAAGAAUUAAGUUUUGAAUUUGACAACAAUGAGUUUGAAAAUAUUUGUAACAAAAUGGAGUUUUUUUCUAAAAAUAUUAAUCAUUAUUUAAUCAUUAGAUCGAUGAGUUAAACUAAUUAAAAUAAAUUUAAAUUAUCAAAUAAAAAUAAUUUAUUUACUUUAAAUCUUUUUUUCUUUUUUUUUUAUCUUAUCUUUUUUACAUAGCAUAGCAAAAAGGCAUUUUUAAAAAUUAUAUCAAUUAAUUUAUAAUUUUUUUAAAUAUAAUAAUGUCCAAAUGUUUUAAGCUCUUUUAUCAUUCUUUUCAUCUCCUUAGGAUCUUGUUUCAUUGUAUGGUUUAGUCUCAUUUUGUAAUUUCCAAAUUUCAUUACAAGUCCUCUAAGCUUCAUAGCUGAAAGUCCACCAUACUUUUCUUUUAAUGUUUCCCACAUUUCAUGAGAAGUUUGAUAUACCUCAUACUCAAUCAUAAGAUCAUCUUGCAUACAACUUAAUAACGUUAUGCGAGCUAAAGAAUUUUUUUGUGAGAGAUGCCACAUCAACAAGAUAAAUAUAUAUGUCAUGUCUGGCAUAUCAAACUAUUUACAUGUUAUGUACAAAACAUAAAAAAAAUGUAAUAAAUAGAAGGAAAACUAAUCUUCUCCCUUGAAAUUAAAAGAAACAAUGUUAGGAUUAUACACAGUGUCUUCUAUAACUCUAGAAGUUGUUUUCAAUAACCAUAACCCUCUAAGAUUUUAUGCCUACUAGAAUUUGAAAAUCUUGCAUUUCGCAAGUUAGGAGAAAUAGAAAGCACUGUUGUUCGUCUGAUGGCAUUCUUCACGAAGCAUGUUUCCCAGUGUUCCUUGAAAAUAACUACUAGGUCAUCAAAAGACCUAUUUGUGAAACCAUGAGACCCUUCUUGAAUGGAUUCCCAUAUAUUUUCAAGAACUUUUUUCUCAGGUUCUGUUAAUGACAUUUGUAGAAUAUGCAUUUUACGGUUUGACUCUAAGAUAUAUUCCUCUUCGAAACGUUUGAACAUAUUAGCCACAUGAUCCGCAUGUUCAUUUGUAGAAUGGCUAGGGUCCCUCUUGUAGUUCAAGAUUGUAUCCAAACGCGGCCAAGGUCCACUACCCCUUAGUACUUUCCUAAUUCUCCUCAAUCGUACCAUUUUGCACCUGAUCAAAAGAAUUUAAUUUAAUUUUAAUGAGUAACAUAUACUCAUACUUUAAUUAAAUAUUUGAACAAAUGAAAUUUUAAUUAGAAACACACAAUUAUAAAAACAAAAGGUCUUUUAUUGUCCCUCAAAUUUUUAUUAUUAUUUUAUACACAAGUCAACAUUCAUAAUUUCAAAUAAACAAUAUAACACUAAUAAAUGGUAUUUUAUAUCAUAUCAAGGUACUUUACUUGAGAUUUAGGUUCGAAUCCAUGUUGCAUUAUUAUUUCUAACACUAAAAGGUUCAAAAGUCUAAAAUUUUAUUACAUUUUAAAUGAAAAAUAAAAUUAAUUUAUAUAAAAUAUUUUAUUCGAGAUUUAAGUUCAAAUCCAUGUUGCAUUAUUAUUUUUAACACUAAAAGGUUCAAAAGUUUAGAAUUUUAUUACAUUUUAAAUGAAAAAUAAAAUUAAUUUAUAUAAAAUAUUUUAUUUGAGAUUUAGGUUCAAAUCCAUGUUGCAUUAUUAUUUCUAACACUCAAAAGUCUAGAAUUUUAUUAUAUUUUAAAUGAAAAAUAAAAUUAAUUUAUAUAAAAUAUUUUAUUUGAUAUUUAAUUUCUAAAAUUUUAUUAAAAAUAUGUGAUAACAAUUUUUUCUAUUAACAUUAAUGUAUUUAAAUAAUUAAAAUAAUUAAUAAUUUAUCUUAUUAAAUUAAUUUUAAUUCAUAAAAUAUCGGUAAUAAAAUUCGAAAGUUCAAUUUAUAUAAAAUAUUUUAUUUGAGAUUUAGAUUCCAAUCCAUGUUGUAUUAUUAUUUCUAACACUCAAAAGUCUAGAAUUUUAUUAUAUUAAAUGAAAAAUAAAAUUACUUUAUAUAAAAUAUUUUAUUUGAUAUUCAAUUUCUAAAAUUUUAUUAAAAAUAUGUGAUAACAAUUUUUUCUAUUAACAUUAAUGUAUUUAAAUAAUUAAAAUUAUUAAUAAUUUAUCUUAUCAAAUUAUUUUUAAUUCAUAAAAUAUUAGUAAUAAAAUUCGAAAGUUCAAUGGUAAAGAUUUAAUCAAAAUAUAAAUGGAUAAUUACUAUUGGUAAUGAUUUAAACAAAAUAUAAAUGGAUAAUUACUAAUGGUAGUGAUUUAAUCAAAAUAUAAAUGGAUAAUUAUUAAUUAUUUAAAAAUAUGUGAUAACAAUUUUUUUUAUUAACAUUAAUAUAUUUAAAUAAUUAAAAUUAUUAAUAAUUUAUCUUAUCAAAUUAUUUUUAAUUCAUAAAAUAUCAGUCAUAAAAUUGGAAAGUUCAAUACUAAAGAUUUAAUCAUAUGGAUAAUUACUAUUGGUAAUGAUUUAAACAAAAUAUAAAUGGAUAAUUACUAAUGAUAGUAAUUUAAUCAAAAUAUAAAUGGAUAAUUAUUAAUUAUUUAUAUACAAAGAUAAAUUCCUAAAAUGCCCUAUUCUGAUUUUACUAAUGGUAGUGAUUCUCACACUCGGGGAUGGGGCGUCAAAGAAGGCAUUUUCUCCUCCAGACCGAGAAUCCCUAAAAAGCCUCCAGACCAAGAAUCCCUAAAAAAGCUCCAGCCGGCCACUCUCAAUCUCUCAAUCCUAAAAAAGCUCCAACCGACCACUCUCAAUCCUAAAAAAGCUCCAGCCGGCCAUUCUCAAUCCGCAGGUACUAAUCUAAUCAUGUUAUCAUUUUUUUUUUUCAAUACCCAUUUCUCAACAAAAUCCAUCCCCCAUUUUUGGAUCUGUUUGAGGUGUUUUUUUUGCUUUUAUGCCAUUCAAUUUAAAUUUCAUGAACCCUAAAUCCACGAUUUUUUAGCCAGGUUGAAAAACACAACCUUUGCCGGUAAAUCAUGACCAGAUUACCAAAUAGUAUCUUUUGUUUUUUUAAAAAAAAUUGGACAGAUUUUCUAUCCUUGUGCGCGGCCUGGACCUGUAGGAAAUAUAGGGAAAUUUCCAAAAAAAAAUCAGUAAAAAUACCAAAAUUUUACUGCAUCAUGUUUGUGCGUGGCCUGGACUGGUAGGAAAUAUCGGGAAAUUUUCCAAAAACUCGGUAAAAAUAUAGUCUUUCUCAGAAAUAUUGCCGAAAAUUUUUGACAUUUCAAUGAGUGAAGUACCUGUUCUGGGCGAGUAGGUAGAGUUGCCUGCAGGGGGAGAUUGGUUUCGGAUCUGCCAAAGCCCGCCUGAUUCUUUUCUU
rnacentral:lncRNA from 1 species